UGACACUAAGUUCAUGAGAUGAGCAAAAGUGCACUAGGACUACCGCGACACUUCAAACCUCAACAUGAUAUGAUUUAUGACAGCAUCCAAGCAACAAGCUACACAACAAUACAUAAGAGUUCAUUUGAAUAGGACACUAGUAGACGAAACACAACAAAUCACAUCAGAGUUCAUAACUUCAUGUGAAUAGUACACUAGUAGACUAAACACAACAACUUCAUGGCACUAGAUCCGAGGGCCUCAAGUUUGAAUAACGAGGAUGAUCUGAUCAUAUAUAGAUCGAAAUCGAACCCUGCAUAAGCAACAAAGGAUACAUUGACCAGCACAUGAAAGUCUCAUACUAGAAGGAAUGCAGGGAAUGUUGUGAGAAAUUCUGUUGGUUGAUGUGGCUAUCAAAAUGCUUGAAUUCAAACGAACUCUUCGGUUUUAGUCUAACUAGCUAUCAGGGCAUAAUCUGAGAAAUUCUUGUAAUGGGACAAUAAUGGAACAUGAAACUGAGCAGAUGUUUUAACUUAAAUUUGGUAGGAAGCAUUUUGGGUAGCGCUUACAGAAACAACCAUAAAGGAGGGUGUCAAACUGUCCUAGUCCAGUAAAAAAUGCACACUUCAGAUUUGUGCCUUCGGUACUACCUAAAUUAGUCAAAACCACCUUACAUUACCUAAUCAAGCAUUCUGUUGAGGAAAUUAAUAGUUUCUGUUGCUGCGCUAAGCUCCCUACUCUUGUGCGAAGGUGAAGAAACUCGUUCACAAAUCUGCUGGACCCACUAAUGGCGGCAUAGUUGUUGGGGUCAUCGAUGUGCAGGGCGGGCACAUACUUCCAAAGUGUGCUCCAGCGCUUAGCAAGAACACACGUCCGUACAGAGUCACGAGAAGGCAGGAACAACAAAAGAUAGCAAAAGAUCAUUUGGGAGGGCCCUGCCCCCUAGCUAGAGUCGUUUCCAUCGUUUCCUCGCUAUUAAGCCUCUCCGACAUUAUGUCAAAAAGGUUGCCUACGCCGAAGCUGUAGAGUUGUUGGAUGUGGUGAGUCAGUGAGUGAGACCAGCCAAAUGGAGAAGAUACACAAUAAUCAUGAGCUCACCAGAUUAGCUCACCUACAGCCGCCGCUAGUCAUGCUCCUCCACCUCCUCCUCGACGGUGCUCAGUUCUCCAAGCAACGCGAGAGGGGACACUUCUCUCAUGCCUUCUCACCUUAACUUGGUGGGACAGGAAAACAGAGAAUGCCGAAGGAAGGGAUAAAGAGAAAGUGAUGGGUGUUUGAUGGAUGUUGGUUGUUCUUAUAGAAAACAACUUGUAUUUAAUACAGGAAGGGUCUCGAAGGACCCAUAAAAGCCGCUUUAGUAAUAAUGUUGGCACAAUAUGAGAGCAGGCGAACCGAAAGCGGUGACAAAUGGUCCAAAUUAUCUUGUCAUUCACUAUAUCACGGGAUAUGUGUCAUCCUCUCUUCCGGAGAGAGCCAAAUGAGAAAAUACAACACUAAAUACACGUCAUGGUAUAUAACUAACAAGAUGGGUGAGACCAUCGCAUUAUGUCAUAGGCGUGUUAAUGAAUGCUGAGGUGAAGGACAGAGGCUCCAUGGUUGGACGGUACUUAUUAAUUUAACCAUGUGAGCAUAACGACAACACUGCACCAACCUUGUUCUAUCUCAUGUGACCGGGGUGCGUAUCGCCUGAGAUGGAGGAAGGUGGAGCAACUACUCCAUGGAGGGGUUACAUAUUUCCUUAUUCUGGGGUCGGAUGCGAUUGGAUCCACAUUUGUUUGAGGUGUGUGUGUGUGUGUGUGUGCGUGUGCGUGUGAUGGACCGAAGGAGUGCUGACACAUGAUAGGGUAAAUGAUGUGGUUUGUGAGUAAAACUUCCAUACAUGUACACCAUCACAAAAACCAUAGCCUUCAAUGGCGAGCUUGCCCGAGCUGAAAUGUUGUUGUCCAAAUUAGGAAAUAUGAAUAUGUUGGAAAUAUGCCCUAGAGGCAAUAAUAAAAGGAUUAUUAUUAUAUUUCCUUGUUCAUGAUAAUUGUCUUUUAUUCAUGCUAUAAUUGUGUUAUCCGGAAAUCGUAAUACAUGUGUGAAUACUUAGACACCAACAUGUCCCUAGUAAGCCUCUAGUUGACUAGCUCGUUGAUCAACAGAUAGUCAUGAUUUCCUGACUAUGGACAUUGGAUGUCAUUGAUAACGGGAUCACAUCAUUAGGAGAAUGAUGUGAUGGACAAGACCCAAUCCUAAACAUAGCAUAAGAUCGUAUAGUUCGUUUGCUAGAGUUUUUCCAAUGUCAAGUAUCUUUUCCUUAGACCAUGAGAUCGUGUAACUCCCGGACACCGUAGGAGUGCUUUGGGUGUACCAAACGUCACAACGUAACUGGGUGACUAUAAAGGUAUACUACGGGUAUCUCCGAAAGUGUCUGUUGGGUUGACACGGAUCAAGACUGGGAUUUGUCACUCCGUAUGACGGAGAGGUAUCACUGGGCCCACUCGGUAAUGCAUCAUCAUAAUGAGCUCAAAGUGACCAAGUGUCUGGUCACGGGAUCAUGCAUUACGGUACGAGUAAAGUGACUUGCCGGUAACGAGAUUGAACGAGGUAUUGGGAUACCGACGAUCGAAUCUCGGGCAAGUAACAUACCGAUUGACGAAGGGAAUUAUAUACGGGGUUGCGUGAAUCCUCGACAUCGUGGUUCAUCCGAUGAGAUCAUCGAGGAGCAUGUGGGAGCCAACAUGGGUAUCCAGAUCCCGCUGUUGGUUAUUGACCAAAGAGCUAUCUCGGUCAUGUCUACAUGUCUCCCGAACCCGUAGGGUCUACACACUUAAGGUUCGGUAACGCUAGAGUUGUAGGGAUAUGUAUAUGCAGUAACCCGAAUGUUGUUCGGAGUCCCGGAUGAGAUCCGGGACGUCACGAGGAGUUUCGGAAUGGUCCGGAGGUAAAGAAUUAUAUAUAGGAAGUGCUAUUUCGGCCAUCGGGACAAGUUUCGGGGUCACCGGUAUUGUACCGGGACCACCGGAAGGGUCCCGGGGGUCCACCGGGUGGGGCCACCUAUCCCGGAGGGCCCCAUGGGCUGAAGUGGGAAGGGAUCCAGCCCAAAGUGGGCUGGGGCGCCACUUCCCCUAGGGCCCAUGCGCCUAGGGUGGGGGAAACCCUAAAGGGGGGCGCCCCUUGCUUGGGGGGCAAGCCCCCCACCCCUUGGCCGCCGCCCCCCUAGGAGAUUGCAUCUCCUAGGGCCGGCGCCCCCCCUAGGCCCCCCUAUAUAUAGUGGGGGGGAUGGAGGACCUCUAACCCACGCCUUUGGUGCCUCCCUCUCCCUCUCCAACACCUCCUCCUCCUCCAUAGAGCUUGGCGAAGCCCUGCCGGAGUACUGCAGCUCCACCACCACCAUGCCGUCGUGCUGCUGCUGGAGCCAUCUUCCUCAACCUCUCCUUUCCCCUUGCUGGAUCAAGAAGGAGGAGACGUUAUGCUGACUGUACGUGUGUUGAACGCGGAGGUGCCGUCCGUUCGGCGCUAGGAUCUCCGGUGAUUUGGAUCACGUCGAGUACGACUUCCUCAUCCCCGUUCUUUGAACGCUUCCGUGCGUGAUCUACAAAGGUAUGUAGAUGCAAUCCAAUCACUCGUUGCUAGAUGAACUCCUAGAUGGAUCUUGGUGAAACCGUAGGAAAAUUUUUGUUUUCUGCAUCGUUCCCCAACAGUGGCAUCAUGAGCUAGGUCUAUGCGUAGUUCUCUAUGCACGAGUAGAACACAAUUUGUGGUGGGUGUCUGUCUCUCCCACUUUAGUUGGAGUGGAUUCGAUGAAAAGGGUCCUUAUGAAGGGUAAAUAGAAGUUGACAAAUCACGUUGUGGCUUUCAUGUAGGUAAGAAAACGUUCUUGCUAGAACCCUCUUGCAGCCACGUAAAACUUGCAACAACAAUUAGAGGACGUCUAACUUGUUUUUGCAGCAAGUGCUUUGUGAUAUGAUAUGGCCAAAGUUGUGAUGAAUGAUGAAUGAUAUAUAUAUGUGAUGUAUGAGAUGUUCAUGCUAUUGUAAUAGGAAUCACGACUUGCAUGUCGAUGAGUAUGACAACCGGCAGGAGCCAUAGGAGUUGUCUUUAUUUUUUGUAUGACCUGCGUGUUAUUGAGAAACGCCAUGUAAAUUACUUUACUUUAUUGCUAAACGUGUUAGCCAUAGUAGUAGAAGUAAUAGUUGGCGAGCAACUUCAUGGAGACACGAUGAUGGAGAUCAUGGUGUCAAGCCGGUGACAAGAUGAUCAUGGAGCCCCAAGAUGGAGAUCAAAGGAGGUAUGUGAUAUUGGCCAUAUCAUGUCACUAUUAUUAUUUGAUUGCAUGUGAUGUUUAUCAUGUUUUGCAUCUUGUUUACUUAGAACGACGGUAGUAAAUAAGAUGAUCCCUCAUAAUAAUUUCAAGAAAGUGUUCCCCCUAACUGUGCACCGUUGCGACAGUUCGUUGUUUCGAAGCACCACGUGAUGAUCGGGUGUGAUAGAUUCUAACGUUCACAUACAACGGGUGUAAGACAGAUUUAUACAUGCAAACACUUAGGUUGACUUGACGAGGCUAGCAUGUACAGACAUGGCCUCGGAACACAGAAGACCGAAAGGUCGAGCAUGAGUCGUAUAGUAGAUACGAUCAACAUGAAGAUGUUCACCGAUGUUGGCUAGUCCGUCUCACGUGAUGAUCGGACACGGCCUAGUUAAGUCGGAUCAUGUUAUACUUAGAUGACCGAAGGGAUGUCUAUCUAAGUGGGAGUUCAUUGAAUAAUUUGAUUAGAUGAACUUAACUAUCAUGAACUUAGUCUAAAAUCUUUACAAUAUGUCUUGUAGAUCAAAUGGCCUACGUUGUCCUCAACUUCAAUGCAUUCCUAGAGAAAACCAAGCUGAAAGACGAUGGCAGCAACUAUACGGACUGGGUCCGAAACCUGAGGAUCAUCCUCAUAGCUGCCAAGAAAGAUUAUGUCCUAGAAGCACCGCUAGGUGACGCACCCGUUCCAGAGAACCAAGACGUUAUGAAUGCUUGGCAGUCACGUGCUGAUGAUUACUCCCUCGUUCAGUGCGGCAUGCUUUACAGCUUAGAACCGGGGCUCCAAAAGCGUUUUGAGAAACACGGAGCAUAUGAGAUGUUUGAAGAGCUAAAAAUGGUUUUCCAAGCUCAUGCCCGGGUCGAGAGAUAUGAAGUCUCCGACAAGUUCUUCGGCUGUAAGAUGGAGGAAAAUAGUUCUGUCAGUGAGCACAUACUCACUAUGUCUGGGUUACAUAACUGCUUGACUCAGCUGGGAGUUAAUCACCCGGAUGAUGCGGUCAUUGAUAGAAUCCUCAAGUCGCUUCCACCAAGCUACAAGAGCUUUGUGAUGAACUUCAAUAUGCAGGGGAUGGAAAAGACCAUUCCUGAAGUAUUUGCAAUGCUGAAAUCAGCAGAGGUAGAAGUCAAAAAGGAACAUCAAGUGUUGAUGGUGAAUAAAACCACUAAGUUCAAGAAAGGAAAGGGUAAAAAGAACUUCAAGAAGGACGGCAAGGGAGUUGCCGCGCCCGGUAAGCUAGCUGCCGGGAAGAAGCCAAAGAAUGGACCCAAGCCCGAGACUGAGUACUUUUAUUGCAAGGGAAGUGGUCACUGGAAGCGGAACUGCCCCAAAUACUUAGCAGACAAGAAGGCCGGCAAAACGAAAGGUAUAUGUGAUAUACAUGUAAUUGAUGUGUACCUUACCAGUACUCGUAGUAGCUCCUGGGUAUUUGAUACCGGUGCAGUUGCUCACAUUUGUAACUCAAAGCAGGAGCUACGGAAUAAGCGGAGACUGGCGAAGGACGAGGUGAUGAUGCGCGUCGGGAAUGGUUCCAAGGUCGAUGUGAUCGCGGUCAGCACGCUACCUCUACAUUUACCUACGGGAUUAGUUUUGAACCUCAAUAACUGUUAUUUAGUACCAGCUUUGAGCAUGAACAUUGUAUCAGGAUCUCGUUUAAUUCGAGAUGGCUACUCAUUUAAAUCCGAGAAUAAUGGUUGUUCUAUUUAUAUGAGAGAUAUGUUUUAUGGUCAUGCUCCGAUGGUGAAUGGUUUAUUCUUAAUGAAUCUCGAGCGUAAUGCUGCACAUAUUCAUAGUGUGAGCACCAAAAGAUGUAAGGUUGAUAAUGAUAGUCCCACAUACUUGUGGCACUGUCGCCUUGGUCACAUAGGUGUCAAACGCAUGAAGAAGCUCCAUGCAGAUGGACUUUUAGAGUCUCUUGAUUACGAAUCAUUUGACACAUGCGAACCAUGCCUCAUGGGUAAAAUGACCAAGACUCCGUUCUCAGGAACAAUGGAGCGAGCGACCAACUUAUUGGAAAUCAUACAUACUGAUGUGUGCGGUCCAAUGAGUGUUGAGGCUCGCGGUGGCUAUCGUUAUGUUCUCACCCUCACUGAUGACUUGAGUAGAUAUGGGUAUAUCUAUUUAAUGAAACACAAGUUUGAGACCUUUGAAAAGUUCAAGGAAUUUCAGAGUGAGGUUGAGAAUCAACGUGACAGGAAAAUCAAGUUCAUACGAUCAGAUCGUGGAGGAGAAUACUUGAGUCACGAAUUUGGCACACACUUAAGAAAAUGUGGAAUAGUUUCACAACUCACGCCGCCUGGAACACCUCAGCGUAAUGGUGUCUCUAAACGUCGUAAUCGCACUCUAUUAGAUAUGGUGCGAUCUAUGAUGUCUCUUACCGAUUUACCGCUAUCUUUUUGGGGCUAUGCUUUAGAGACUGCCGCAUUCACUUUAAAUAGGGCUCCGUCGAAAUCCGUUGAGACGACACCGUAUGAAUUAUGGUUUGGGAAGAAACCUAAGUUGUCGUUUCUAAAAGUUUGGGGAUGCGAUGCUUAUGUCAAGAAACUUCAACCUGAAAAGCUCGAACCCAAGUCGGAAAAAUGCGUUUCAUAGGAUACCCUAAAGAAACUAUUGGGUAUACCUUCUACCUUAGAUCCGAAGGCAAGAUCUUUGUUGCCAAGAAUGGAUCCUUUCUAGAGAAGGAGUUUCUCUCGAAAGAAGUAAGUGGGAGGAAAGUAGAACUUGAUGAAGUAUUACCUCUUGAACCGGAAAGUGGUGCAACUCAAGAAAAUGUUCCUGAGGUGCCUGCACCGACUAGAGAGGAAGUUAAUGAUGAUGAUCAUGAAACUUCAGAUCAAGUUGCUACUGAACUUCGUAGGUCCACAAGGACACGUUCCGCACCAGAGUGGUACAGCAACCCUGUCUUGGAAAUCAUGUUGUUAGACAACGGUGAACCUUCUAACUAUAAAGAAGCGAUGGCGGGCCCAGAUUCCAACAAAUGGCUUGAAGCCAUGCAAUCCGAGAUAGGAUCCAUGUAUGAAAACAAAGUAUGGACUUUGACAGACUUGCCCGAUGAUCGGCGAGCGAUAGAAAACAAAUGGAUCUUUAAGAAGAAGACGGAUGCGGAUGGUAAUGUUACCAUCUAUAAAGCUCGACUUGUCGCUAAGGGUUAUUGGCAAGUUCAAGGGGUUGACUACGAUGAGACUUUCUCACCGGUAGCGAAGCUGAAGUCCGUCCGAAUUAUGUUAGCAAUUGCCGCAUACUAUGAUUAUGAGAUAUGGCAAAUGGAAGUCAAAACGGCAUUCCUUAAUGGUUUCCUUAAGGAAGAAUUGUAUAUGCUGCAGCCGGAAGGUUUUGUCGACCCUAAGAAUGCUAACAAGGUAUGCAAGCUCCAGCGAUCCAUUUAUGGGCUGGUGCAAGCAUCUCAGAGUUGGAAUAUUCGCUUUGAUGAGAUGAUCAAAGCGUUUAGUUUAUGCAGACUUAUGGAGAAGUCUGCGUUUACAAGAAAGUGAGUGGGAGCUCUGUAGCAUUUCUCGUAUUAUAUGUAGAUGACAUACUUUUGAUGGGAAAUGAUAUAGAGCUUUUGGACAGCAUUAAGGCCUACUUGAAUAAGAGUUUUUCAAUGAAGGACCUUGGAGAAGCUGCUUAUAUAUGAGGCAUCAAGAUCUAUAGAGAUAGAUCAAGACGCCUGAUAGGUCUUUCACAAAGCACAUACCUUGAUAAGAUAUUGAAGAAGUUCAAUAUGGAUCAGUCUAAGAAGGGGUUCUUGCCUCUGUUGCAAGGUAUGAAAUUGAGCUCAGCUCAAUGUCCGACCACGGCAGAAGAUAUAGAAGAGAUGAGUGUCAUCCCCUAUGCCUCAGCCAUAGGUUCUAUUAUGUAUGCCAUGCUGUGUACCAGACCCGAUGUAAACCUUGCCGUAAGUUUGGUAGGAAGGUACCAAAGUAAUCCCGGCAAGGAACACUGGACAUCGGUCAAGAAUAUCCUGAAGUACCUGAAAAGGACUAAGGAAAUGUUUCUCGUUUAUGGAGGUGACGAAGAGCUCGUCGUAAAGGGUUACGUCGAUGCUAGCUUCGACACAUAUCUGGAUGACUCUAAGUCACAAACCGGAUACGUGUAUAUUUUGAAUGGUGGGGCAGUUAGCUAGUGCAGUUGCAAGCAGAGCGUCGUGGCGGGAUCUACAUGUGAAGCGGAGUACAUGGCAGCCUCGGAGGCAACACAUGAAGCAAUUUGGGUGAAGGAGUUCAUCACCAACCUAGGAGUCAUACCCAAUGCGUCGGGGCCGAUCAAACUCUUCUGUGACAACACUGGAGCUAUUGCACUUGCCAAGGAGCCCAAGUUUCACAAGAAGACAAGGCACAUCAAGCGUCGCUUCAACUCCAUCCGUGAAAAUGUUCAAGAUGGAGACAUAGAAAUUUGUAAAGUACAUACAGAUCUGAAUGUAGCAGAUCCGUUGACUAAACCUCUCCCUAGAGCAAAACAUGAUCAACACCAGAAUUCCAUGGGUGUUCGAUUCAUCACAAUGUAACUAGAUUAUUGACUCUAGUGUAAGUGGGAGACUGUUGGAAAUAUGCCCUAGAGGCAAUAAUAAAAGGAUUAUUAUUAUAUUUCCUUGUUCAUGAUAAUUGUCUUUUAUUCAUGCUAUAAUUGUGUUAUCCGGAAAUCGUAAUACAUAUGUGAAUACUUAGACACCAACAUGUCCCUAGUAAGCCUCUAGUUGACUAGCUCGUUGAUCAACAGAUAGUCAUGAUUUUCUGACUAUGGACAUUGGAUGUCAUUGAUAACGGGAUCACAUCAUUAGGAGAAUGAUGUGAUGGACAAGACCCAAUCCUAAACAUAGCAUAAGAUCGUAUAGUUCGUUUGCUAGAGUUUUUCCAAUGUCAAGUAUCUUUUCCUUAGACCAUGAGAUCGUGUAACUCCCGGACACCGUAGGAGUGCUUUGGGUGUACCAAACGUCACAACGUAACUGGGUGACUAUAAAGGUAUACUACGGGUAUCUCCGAAAGUGUCUGUUGGGUUGACACGGAUCAAGACUGGGAUUUGUCACUCCGUAUGACGGAGAGGUAUCACUGGGCCCACUCGGUAAUGCAUCAUCAUAAUGAGCUCAAAGUGACCAAGUGUCUGGUCACGGGAUCAUGCAUUAUGGUACGAGUAAAGUGACUUGCCGGUAACGAGAUUGAACGAGGUAUUGGGAUACCGACGAUCGAAUCUCGGGCAAGUAACAUACCGAUUGACGAAGGGAAUUGUAUACGGGGUUGCGUGAAUCCUCGACAUCGUGGUUCAUCCGAUGAGAUCAUCGAGGAGCAUGUGGGAGCCAACAUGGGUAUCCAGAUCCCGCUGUUGGUUAUUGACCAGAGAGCUGUCUCGGUCAUGUCUACAUGUCUCCCGAACCCGUAGGGUCUACACACUUAAGGUUCGGUAACGCUAGAGUUGUAUGGAUAUGUAUAUGCAGUAACCAGAAUGUUUUUCGGAGUCCCGGAUGAGAUCCCGGACAUCACGAGGAGUUCCGGAAUGGUCCGGAGGUAAAGAAUUAUAUAUAGGAAGUGCUAUUCGGCCAUCGGGACAAGUUUCGGGGUCACCGGUAUUGUACCGGGACCACCGGAAGGGUCCCGGGGGUCCACCGGGUGGGGCCACCUAUCCCGGAGGGCCCCAUGGGCUGAAGUGGGAAGGGAUCCAGCCCAAAGUGGGCUGGGGCGCCACUUCCCCUAGGGCCCAUGCGCCUAGGGUGGGGGAAACCCUAAAGGGGGGCGCCCCCUUGCUUGGGGGGCAAGCCCCCCACUCCUUGGCCGCCGCCCCCCUAGGAGAUUGCAUCUCCUAGGGCCGGCGCCCCCCCCUAGGCCCCCCUAUAUAUAGUGGGGGGGGGAUGGAGGACCUCUAACCCAUGCCUUUGGUGCCUCCCUCUCCCUCUCCAACACCUCCUCCUCCUCCAUAGAGCUUGGCGAAGCCCUGCCGGAGUACUGCAGCUCCACCACCACCACGCCGUCGUGCUGCUGCUGGAGCCAUCUUCCUCAACCUCUCCUUUCCCCUUGCUGGAUCAAGAAGGAGGAGACGUUACGCUGACCGUACGUGUGUUGAACGCGGAGGUGCCGUCCGUUCGGCGCUAGGAUCUCCGGUGAUUUGGAUCACGUCGAGUACGACUUUCUCAUCCUCGUUCAUUGAACGCUUCCGCGCGUGAUCUACAAAGGUAUGUAGAUGCAAUCCAAUCACUCGUUGCUAGAUGAACUCCUAGAUGGAUCUUGGUGAAACCAUAGGAAAAUUUUUGUUUUCUGCAUCGUUCCCCAACAGAAUAUAGAGUAACACAUCGUGGAAGAUGAAGUUUAGACCUACAUUGAUUAGGUUGAGGGUGGUUAGGAGUUCAGGUUGUGUUGGUGCAAGGGUUCAGUAUGGCGUUUGAAUAUCCAAGUCUUGUGUGCACAGUUCCUUGGUCCUCACAAUCUUAUAUGUUUACUAGUUGACCCGUUGUGCCAAUGCGCAGAGACCAACAGAAACCUAGAAGUUAAGCAAACUAUUUAAAGGAUUUUUUAUCAACUAUGUGCUAAUGAUUAGACUUGUGAAGUGUUUCUAUUUGCCUUAAUGACGAUAAUUUCUCAUAGCUUUCUUUGCAGAUUUGUUUUUGAUGCUCCGACCUUCCCUUGUAUGGUAAAUGUGACAGAAAAACAACAAUUCGGAAAUUAGGUGUACCAUUUGAAGGAAUUUUCUCGUGAAUGUCCUAUAAGUAAUUAUAUUUGCAUUACCUUUGUAGGCGCUGUAUAUUUAGCAAUGACGGACAACGGAGAUUGUUGCCUAAGUGUUUCGCUGCCCAGGCAGGGCAACCCAAUGACCGGACAGAAAGUCCGACCGCAAUCCCUCCCCCCGCAACCGACCUCAACCAUCAGAACCAUGUUCCCCUCCCAACCAACCCAAUGACAGAGAUCAUAAAACACGCCUACAAUACCAUAAAGUUAAGCAAUCUAUGGGAGGCACGUAUAGUAGACAUUCUUUUAAUGAAUACCUUUUGCUCGUGAUGACACAGAGACCUAAUCCUCUGGUAGUAUCAACUCCUAUGGCAAUAUGGCGCAACUCUCGAGUUAUUUUACCCUCUCCUUCGUUUGCAUUCAAACCGUAUCAGGAACCAUCCUGAUUUAAUGAUCGUUGCUCAUGUCCUUCUUUAGCCGGCCAUGGCAACCCAACAGUCGGGUCAAUAGAGGACGAUCACACCCUUCCCCCCUACGGUACAUGAAUUGAACCAUCGGAACCAGGGCUCUUAUUCUCAACAACCGAGGUGACUCGGAACCAUCCGGGCAGAUCGCAAAGUCUAAAUAUCGGGUAGUCAAGUAAAGACAAGGCAUCCGACCAACAUGACGUGAGGGAAAUAGGCUGUGGCAACUCCUCACAUCCACCUAACAAUGAACAAAACAGACCAGCAGGAUGCGACCGAUGCGCACACUAAGCCGAGCGAUCGUGCAUGCCCAACGUGUUUUUGAAUGUGAGCCGGUCUUUCUUUAACACCGCUAACUUGAAAACAAAAAUACUGAGCGGACGGGACAUUUUGGAACGUAUACCCGGACUCUCAAAACCAACUUUGCGAAGUCAUCAAUACUAACAAACCAAAGAUGAAAUCUACUCUUGCUCGUACCAAACACCGUCUUUUGCUCUGUAUCAAUUGUUGCGUCUCCUACUUCCUUCCUUUCUUCUCCAUUUUGCUUGUUUCCUUAUAAACGAUAAAUUUUCUUCAUGUAUGGCCUCUUUUCCCGUGGAAAUAAAAUAAAUAAAGGAUUUUGUGAUCGCUCGCAUUCAUUAGUCAAUAGUGACAAUAUUGCAGCAAUUUUCUCAUAAUUUCUAAGCUUAUCCCAUUCAAACAACGGUGUGAUGAGCGUAGAAAUAUCACUCAUCAACCUCCCCAAGCUUAAACCUUGAUAGUCCUCGAGCAACAAAAAUAGAAACCCAAUUGUAAGAAAUUCAGUUGUUUAGAGAGUUGAAUAACAAUUGGUUGUUUGCAUGAAUUAUAUGUUGGUACCGAGAGUAAUAGGUAUAAACUGGUGGUAAGAUAAAAGCUUGCAUGGCCUUGUAGAUCACUGAACUUGAUAAAUGGAUUCUUGCAAUUGUCGAGCUAGAGAUGUAUAAGAGGAUCUCGUUCUUUAGUAUUUGGACGCACUCUUAACAUGUAUCCAACGUAUCUAUAAUUUUUGAUUGUUUUGUACUAUUAUAUUAUCAAUCUUGUAUGCUUUAUAUGCCAUUUUACAUCAUUUUUUGGAACUAACCUAUUAACUCAGUGCCUAGUGUCAGUUUCUAUUUUCUGCUUGUUUUUGGUUUUUUCAGAAAAUCCACACCAAACGAAAUCCAAACAUGAUGAAACAUUUUGAUAAUUUUUUCUAAACAAAAAGAGACCUUGGAAGCUUUCAGUAGGAGGCUAGAAGACAUACGAGGGAGCCACAAGGCAAGGGGCGCGUCCUGGGAGGUAGGGCGCACCAUCAGCUUUCCCUAGCAUAUGCCCUGGUUUAUCAGUUGGCCAGGAAUACAACCAUAAAGCCACAGAGCAUCAAAAUCUCACGGAGAGUCGUUAUUUCGAUGGCGCCAAAGGCCGAAACUCGGCCCUUCGAUCCACGAUUCGACCAUGUCGUGUUACCCGACCAACAAUGUUUUUAUUUAGUUUCAUAUAGUUAGCCUCACUUCUUGGCUGCGUUUACUUUUUUCGCCAUGGUCGCAACGAGUCAUCUAUUUGUAUAAAGUAAGAUACAGUCAGCCCCAUGCCAUAUACGCAUAUUGUUUUAGCCACUAUUCCAUGUUACUAGGCAUGUGCCUAGGGGCGUGUGACCUGUGCGAUGGCACAAGGGCUUCAAUUUUUAGGGCCCCCGAAUUUCCUUGUUUUUUUAGCUAUGGGGCUCCGAAUUUCUGACCCGUCAAUUCAGCCACAUGCGAGCCCACGCGGUUACACAUGCCAAUUCCUAUUCAUCGCUUAUUUGUGGCAGAUUGUUGAAGUUUCACACAUGCAACACACUCAUGGGAUAACCCAAUUCACGCUAAGUUUCCUGGUUUUAGGAACCUUCUAGAAGGUUCAGGUCUGGUUCAGGUAGGUUUUUUCUCUUCCUUCUGGUUGUUUUACUGAUUUUCUUCUGUUUCAAUAAAUGUUCGGAAAGGAAUGUUCAAAAUUUCAAAAAAAUGUUUGCUAUUUCAAAAAAUAUUUUUUGGAAGUUUCAAACAGUGUUUGCGUUUUCAAUAAAUAUUGACAAACUUGAAAGAAUUUUGUGUUUUCAAAAUAUGUUUGCUGUUUUCAAAACAAUUUGAAACGCACUACAGUAAAUCUCGUGCUUCGUUAUGUGCGCCGCACCCUCUAUGUACUGCCGUUGGGCACGGUUACGAUCAGGCAAAGGCCCUGGAUUCUCUAAAAAUAAAAGGCAAGGGCCCUAGAAUCUGGAAGCAGGCCUGCCUGGACAACUCGGCGAGUGACAGGGCCUCUCCAUGUCAGACCGAGUGAGCAGUGGGAAAGAAGGCCGUUGAGCGCACCGCAGCCGGUAUGAUAGCCGGACAACAUCGUGAGCUAUAGGAACAGGCGGCAGGCUCUCGGCGUUGCUGGUGGCCGAGGGCGGCGACAUGCGAAUGGAGCCCUUGGAUGGUACUUUCCCAUAUAGAGAGAGAUCGAGGUGGCGCGCUCGAAGCAGCCAAGCGGUAGCGCGCAACUGACCCUACGGGUGGAGCUGGGUUCGUCGGCGACCUGGAUGUCCAUGAGGGACGCCUAAUCGUCUUUUUCGUCCUAACUGGUACGAUGUCGUUCUGACUCAUGAUUAAUUUACAAGGAUAGUGAACUAGUAUAUCUAGUAUAAAUCGGAGAGUAAGCUAUCUUGUUUCUUAGUUUUGAGCACUCACGAUUCAAUCUUUUUGGAAUGUCCUGGUAAAUCUUUCAAAGAAAAUAAUGACACUUUGAUUAGGCCCCUAAUAUUACCGACUCGGCUCUGCAUGUUAAUCUUCAACUCACCAUAGAGUCUAGUGAGAUUUUGGGUCCAUACUCAAUAAUAUCUAGUUUUUUUUAAAGAUAAGGCAACAAUAAUAUCUAGUUGAAUCAAGGUAUCUCCACUUAAUCAGAAUCCUCUGAAUCUGGAUAGUCUACAAGGCCCUCAACUGGAACCUUACUUAUGUUGGAGACUUGGUCAUCAUGAUAAUUGUUCCUGAAUGUGAUUGCUUGUGCAGCUCUUGAAUUGUAUGUUUGAGCAGCAACUUGAUCAUGACUAGAUGAAUUUGAGCCAUUAGCUUCAUCAACGAUGCCAUCUUCUCCUGUUAUAUGUCCUAUAACUUCACAUGGUUUGUCACUAGAAGGACCAUUGGAAUACUGGAACUCGUCAAAAGCAGCCCCAAGUUGUAAGGCUCUUCGCAUUGCUGCAGAUACAUCAGCGCCUUGAGUGUCUCCAAACAAGCUUGGCAUCUGAGAUGAAUUAGAAAGACUAAUUAAUCACUGAAGUGUUAACUUUAUUUCCUGAGUAAUAUAAUAUAUAAAUAAUUUUCCAUUGUUAGCUCACCAUUGUUCUUUGGACAUCGUUAUCUGAAUGAUAGCCCGACAUGUAAGGGAUUGUAUGACGAGUCUUCACGGAUUUAGAACUUGAGGCACAAUUCCCGUAGCUAUCCAUAAACAUUGCCAUGUUUUGUUCCCUUUCCAUACGUUUUCGAUGUUUCUUGAAAAUAUUAAAUACACAAUUAUUAGUAGACAAUCAUUCAAAGAUGAAAACUUUAGCUUCAUAAAUUAGGCACUAGAAAACACUAUAUAAUAUCAGGCCUUCCGUUUUGUUGUUCAAUUCAAAAAUUUGGGUUCACUGUUCAUCUGUAUUGUUAACUUAUAAACGAAAGCAUUUUAUAUUAAUUUUUCUAAUACAAGACACUUUGGCUUAUUUCAGUCAAAUUACAUGUUUGACUUAGCUCAUUUGAAAUGACUCCAUACAUGCUCCAGAGUUCAAUAAAUGUGUAUUGGGAACACACCUACAGAUGCGCAGAAAUUUGUUUCCUCGUAACAGUAUCCAUGUUCAUGAUUAUCUUUAUCUUGCUGGGUGAUGCAUCUGAAAUGAAUUAACAGGUAUAAUUUCAUAUUAUCGAUUUUAAAUCGAGAAGGCUAAUCCUGAAGUGAAAGUGCUUGGGCCUAAGAUGGGUAGUUACUUGCUCCAAGUAUUUGAAGAGCAUAUAAAAACUUGCUCUCCAGGAAAGGUAUCCAUUUGAAAUGAGUGGUCGUUUUAGUUCCAUCCUUUUGCUGUGUUACAGACUCUCCAACUUCUUCUCCAUCUUGUGCUUUAUCUCCAACACCUGCGUGUGCACAACAUAAUACUUUAAUAUUUGCAGUUUCAUGUUUUCGUGCAAUCCAAAGGAAGGCGAGACUUAUUUUACUUGACACAAUUCAGGUUACUACCACAUUGAGAAAAUUAAUAUAAUGUUCUGGAAAGCAUGCACUAAAACAGACGUCUCUAACUUGUACUGCUAUUACAUAUAGCUAAUUGCGCGUGCAUAAACGGAGGCAUACAUAUUCUAGUGACUCAACACUCAUAUCCGGCAUAUACCUUACACCCAACAUAUUCUAAUGUAGGAAGUGAUUUGAUUUUAUUUGACUGAGUUAAUGCAAAAUAUUUGAUUUGAUUUGAUUGAGUUAAUGUAAAAGAUUUGCUUUGAUUUUUGAUUUGCCCAUGUCCGACGUAUAGCUAGAAUGGCCGAUUUAAUUUGAUUGAGUUAAUGCAAUUAUCUUACACCCACCAAGAGAGGCAUUGCAAAAUAUUUAAUUUGAUUUGAUUGAGUUAAUGCAUGCCGUGGGCGAGGGGAGGCUUCACCAAUGAACAUGCGACACCAACUCACCUUAUUGGUAGAGACUCAUUCCAUUUCAAAUCACCUAUCUUUUGAACCUCUUAAACUUUUGCCAAAAAGUAAUGGCCCUUCUNNNNNNNNNNNNNNNNNNNNNNNNNNNNNNNNNNNNNNNNNNNNNNNNNNNNNNNNNNNNNNNNNNNNNNNNNNNNNNNNNNNNNNNNNNNNNNNNNNNNNNNNNNNNNNNNNNNNNNNNNNNNNNNNNNNNNNNNNNNNNNNNNNNNNNNNNNNNNNNNNNNNNNNNNNNNNNNNNNNNNNNNNNNNNNNNNNNNNNNNNNNNNNNNNNNNNNNNNNNNNNNNNNNNNNNNNNNNNNNNNNNNNNNNNNNNNNNNNNNNNNNNNNNNNNNNNNNNNNNNNNNNNNNNNNNNNNNNNNNNNNNNNNNNNNNNNNNNNNNNNNNNNNNNNNNNNNNNNNNNNNNNNNNNNNNNNNNNNNNNNNNNNNNNNNNUAUAGUAAUUAUUUGCCUUGGUGAACAAAAAGAGAUAGACAUGAAAAUAAUUCAAGAGAAGCAACGAUAUUUUACUCUUACUGGGGCGCGCCAAGUGUAGGGAGUCCUACUAGGACUCCCAAGUCCUAGUAGGAUUACCUUUCCUUUUCGGAGUGGAAAAGAAGGAAAGGAGGGAGAGGGAGAAGGAAAAGGGGGGGGGGGGGCGCCCCCACCCCUUGUCCAAUUCGGUUUGGGCAGGGCGGAGGCGCGCGCCACCUUGUGGCCCUUCUUCCCUCUCUCCACUAAAGCCCAAUAAGGCCUAUUAACUUCUCCCGACGAAUUCCUGUAACUCUCCGGUACUCCGGAAAAUACCCGAAUCACUCGGAACCAUUCCGAUAUCCGAAUAUAGCCUUCCAAUAUAUGAAUCUUUACCUUUCGACCAUUUCGAGACUCCUCGUCAUGUCCGUGAUCUCAUCCGGGACUCUGAACAAACUUCGGUCAUCAAAUCACAUAACUCAUAAUACAAAUCGUCACCGAACGUUAAGCGUGCGGACCCUACGGGUUCGAGAACUAUGUAGACAUGACCGAGACACAUCUCCGGUCAAUAACCAAUAGCGGAACCUGGAUGCUCAUAUUGGCUCCUACAUAUUCUACGAAUAUCUUUAUCGGUCAAACCUCAUAACAACAUACGUUAUUCCCUUUGUCAUCGGUAUGUUACUUGCCCGAGAUUCGAUCGUCGGUAUCAUCAUACCUAGUUCAAUCUCGUUACCGGCAAGUCUUUUUACUCGUUCCAUAAUGCAUCAUCCCGCAACUAAUUCAUUAGUCACAUUGCUUGCAAGGCUUAUAAUGAUAUGCAUUACCAAGAGGGCCCAGAGAUACAUCUUCAAUACACGGAGUGACAAAUCCUAAUCUCGAUCUAUGCCAACCCAACAAACACCUUCGGAGACACCUGUAGAGCAUCUUUAUAAUCACCCAGUUACGUUGUGACGUUUGAUAGCACACAAGGUGUUCCUCCGGUAUUCGGGAGUUGCAUAAUCUCAUAGUCAAAGGAACAUGUAUAAGUCAUGAAGAAAGCAAUAGCAAUAAAACUUAACGAUCAUAAUGCUAAGCUAACGGAUGGGUCUUGUCCAUCACAUCAUUCUCUAAUGAUGUGAUCCCGUUCAUCAAAUGACAACACAUUUCUAUGGUCAGGAAACUUAACCAUCUUUGAUUAACGAGCUAGUCUAGGAGGCAUACUGGGGACACUUUGUUUUGUCUAUAUAUUCACACAUGUAUCAAGUUUCCGGUUAAUACAAUUCUAGCAUGAAUAAUAAACAUUUAUCAUGAUAUAAGGAAAUAAAAUAAUAACUUUAUUAUUGCCUUUAGGGCAUAUUUCCUUCAGUCUCCCACUUGAACUAGAGUCAAUAAUCUAGUUCACAUCGCCAUGUGAUUUAACACCAAUAGUUCAUAUUGUUACCCAUAGUUCACAUCGCCAUGUGAGCAAUACUUAAAGGGUUUACUAGAGUCAAUAAUCUAGUUCACAUCGCUAUGUGAUUAACACCCAAGAGUAAGAAGGUGUGAUCAUGUUUUGCUUGUGAGAAAAGUUUUAGUCUACAGGUCUGCCACAUUCAGAUCCAUAUAUAUUUUGCAAAUUUCAAUGCUCUGCACGGAGCUACUCUAACUAAUUGCUCCUACUUUCAAUAUGUAUCCAGAUCGAGACUCAGAGUCAUCCAGAUUGGUGUCAAAGCUUGCAUCGACGUAGCUCUUUACGACGAACUCUUUUAUCCCCUCAUAACCGAGAAAUAUUUCCUUAGUCCUCUAAGGAUAAUUUUAACCGCUGUCCAGUGAUCUACUCCUAGAUCACUAUUGUACUCCCUUGCCAAAAACAUGCUAAGGUAUACAGUAGGUCUGGUACAUAGCAUAGCAUACUUUAUAAAACAUAUGACUAAGGCAUAGGGAAUGACUUCUCAUUCUCUUUCUAUUUUCUGUCGUGGUCGCGUUUUGAGUCUUUACUCAACUUCACACCUUGCAACACAGGCAAGAACUCCUUCUUUGACUAUUCCAUUUUGAACUACUUUAAAAUCUUGUCAAGGUAUGUACUCAUUGAAAAAACUUAUCAAGCGUCUUGAUCUAUCUCUAUAGAUCUUGACGCUCAAUAUGUAAGAAGCUUUACCGAGGUCUUUCUUUGAAAAAUUCCUUUCAAACACUCCUUUAUGCUUUCCAGAAAAUUCUACAUCAUUUCCGAUCAACAAUAUGUCAUUCACAUAUACUUAUCAGAAAUGAAGGAAAUAUGCCCUAGAGACAAUAAUAAAGUUGUUAUUUAUAUUUCCUUAUAUCAUGAUAAAUGUUUAUUAUUCAUGCUAGAUUUGUAUUAACCGGAAACUUAGUACAUGUGUGAAUACAUAGACAAACAGAGUGUCCCUAGUAUGCCGCUACUAGACUAGCUCGUUAAUCAAGAUGAUUGAGUUUACUAGCCAUAAACAUGUGUUAUCAUUUGAUGAACGGGAUCACAUCAUUAGAGAAUGAUGUGAUGGACAAGAUCCAUCCGUUAGCUUAGCACUAUGAUCGUUUAGUUUAUUGCUAUUGCUUUCUUCAUGACUUAUACAUGUUCCUAUGACUAUGAGAUUAUACAACUCCCGAAUACCGGGGGAACACUUAGUGUGCUAUCAAACGUCACAACGUAACUGGGUGAUUAUAAAGAUGCUCUACAGGUGUCUUCAAUGGUGUUUGUUGAGUUGGCAUAGAUCAAUAUUAGGAUUUGUCACUCCAAUUGUCGGAGAGGUAUCUCUGGGCCCUCUCGGUAAUGCACAUCACUAUAAGCCUUGCAAGCAAUGUGACUACUGAGUUAGUUGUGGGAUGAUGCAUUAUGGAACGAGUAAAGAGACUUGCCGGUAACGAGAUUGAACUAGGUAUGAUGAUACCGACGAUCGAAUCUCAGGAAAGUAAGAUACCGAUGACAAAGGGAACAACGUAUGUUGUUGUGCGGUUUGACCGAUAAAGAUCUUCGUAGAAUAUAUAGGAGCCAAUAUGAGCAUCUAGGUUCCGCUAUUGGUUAUUGACCGGAGAUGUGUCUCGGUCAUGUCUACAUAGUUCUCGAACUCAUAGGGUCCGCACGCUUAACGUUCGAUGACGAUUUGUAUUAUGAGUUUAUGUGAUUUGAUGACCUAAUGUUGUUCGGAGUCCCGGAUGAGAUCAUGGACAUGACGAGGAGUCUCGAAAUGGUCAAGAAAUUAAGAUUGAUAUAUUGGACCAUCUUAUUCGGACACUAGAAGUGUUCCAGAUAGUUUCGGAUAAAACUGGAGUGCCGGAGGGGUUACCGGAACCCCCCGGGGAAGUAAUGGGCCUUAGUGGGCCUUAGGGGAGAGAGAGGGCAGCAGCCAGGAGGUGGCGCCCCCAAGGGGAGUCCGAAUAGGACUAGGGGAGGGGGCGCAAUCGCUCUUUCCCUCUCCCUCUCCCUCUCCUUCCUUCUUCUCCUACAUGGACUAGGAAAGGGAGAGUCGAUUCCUACUUGGAGUAGGACUCCCCUCCCCCUUGGGCGUGCCUCAAGGGGCCGGCCGGCCUCCUCCCUCCCUCCUUUAUAUACGGGGGAGGGGGGCACCCCAUAGACACACAAGUUGAUCUUUAGCCGUGUGUGGUGCCCCCCUCCAUAGUUUUACACCUCGGUCACAUUGUCGUAGUGCUUAGGCGAAGCCCUGCGUCGGUAACUUCAUCAUCACUAUCACCACGCCAUCAUGCUGACGAAACUCUCCCUCGACCUCAACUGGAUCAAGAGUUCGAGGGACGUCACCAAGCUAAACUUGUGCAGAUCACGAAGGUGUCGUGCAUUCGGUACUUGAUCGGUUGGAUCGCGAAGACGUUCGACUACAUCAACCGCGUUACUAAACGCUUCCGCUUUCGGUCUACGAGGGUAUGUGGACACACUCUCCCCGCUCGUUGCUAUGCAUAUCCUAGGUGGAUCUUGCUUCAUGAUAGGUAAUUUUUUUGAAAUACUGUGUUCCCCAACAAGAAAGGUUGUAGUGCUCCCACUCACUUUCUUGUAAAUACAGGCUUCUUCACAAGUUUGUACAAAACCAUAUACUUUGAUCACACUAUCAAAACAUAUAUUCCAACUCUGAGAGGCUUGUACCAGUCCAUAAAUGGAUCACUGGAGCUUGCACACUUUGUUAGCACCUUUAGGAUCGACAAAACCUUCUGGUUGCAUCAUAUACAACUCUUCUUUAAGAUAUCCAUUAAGGAAUGCAGUUUUGAUAUCCAUUUGCCAAAUUUCAUAAAAUGUGGUAAUUGCUAACAUGAUUCGGACAGACUUAAGCAUCGCUAUGAGUGAGAAAAUCUCAUAGUAGUCAACACCUUGAAUUUGUCAAAAACCUUUUGCGAUAAGUCGAGCUUUUUAGAUAGUAACACUACCAUCAGCGUCCGUCUUCCUCUUGAAAAUCCAUUUAUUCUCUAUGGCUUGCCGGUCAUCGGGAAAGUCAACCAAAGUCCACACUUUGUUCUCAUACAUGUAUCUCAUGUCAGAUUUCAUGGCUUCAAGCCAUUUCGCGGAAUUUGGGCUCAUCAUCACUUCCUCAUAGUUCGUAGGUUCGUCAUGGUCCAGUAACAUGACUUCCAGAACAGGAUUACCGUACCACUCUAGUGUGGAACGUACUUUGAUUAACCUACGAGGUUCAGUAGUAACUUGAUCUGAAGUUUCAUGAUCAUCAUCAUUAGCUUCCUCACUAAUUGGUGUAGGCAUCCCUGGGAACGAUUUCUGUGAUGAACUACUUUCCAAUUCAAGAGAAGGUACAAUUACCUCAUCAAGUUCUACUUUCCUCCCACUCACUUCAUUCAAGAUAAACUCAUUCUCUAGAAAGGAUCCAUUCUUAGCAACAAAGAUCUUGCCUUCAGAUCUGUGAUAGAAGUUGUACCCAACAGUUUCUUUUUGGGUAUCCUAUGAAGACACACUUCUCCGAUUUGGGUUCGAGCUUAUCAGGUUGAAGUUUUUCACAUAAGCAUCGCAGUCCCAAACUUUAAGAAACGACAGCUUAGGUUUCUUGCCAAACCAUAAUUCAUAUAGUGUCGUCUCAACGGAUUUAGAUGGUUGCCUAUUUAACAUGAAUGCAGCUGUCUCUAAUGCAUAACCUCCAAAACAAUAGCGGUAAAUCAGUAAGAGACAUCAUAGAUCGUACCAUAUCUAAUAAAGUACGGUUACAACGUUCGGACACACCAUUACGCUGUGGUGUUCCAGGUGGCGUGAGUUGCGAAACUAUUCCAUAUUGUUUCAAAUUAAGACCAAAUUCAUAACUCAAAUAUUCACCUCCACGAUCAGAUCGUAGAAACUUUAUUUUCUUGUUAUGAUGAUUUUCCACUUCACUCUGAAAUUCUUUGAACUUUCAAAUGUUUCAGACUUAUGUUUCAUUAAGUAGAUAUACCCAUAUCUGCUCAAAUCAUCUAUGAAGGUCAGAAAUAAUGAUACCCGCCGCGAGCCUCAACACUCAUCGGACCGCAUACAUCAGUAUGUAUUAUUUCCAAUAAGUCAGUUGAUCGCUCCAUUGUUCCGGAGAACGGAGUCUUAGCCAUCUUUCCCAUGAGGCAUGGUUCGCAAGCAUCAAGUGAUUCGUAAUCAAGUGAUUUCAAAAGCCCAUCACCAUGGGGUUUCUUCAUGCGCUUUACACCAAUAUGACCUAAACGGCAGUGCCACAAAUAAGUUGCACUAUCAUUAUUAACUUUGCAUCUUUUGGUUUCAAUAUUAUGAAUAUGUGUAUCAUUUCGAUCGAGAUUUAGUAAACCAUUCACCUUGGGUGUAUGACCACAGAAGGUUUUAUUCGUCUAAACAGAAUAACAAUUAUUCUUUGACCUAAAUGAAUAAUCGUAUUGCAAUAAACAUGAUCCAAUCAUAUUAUGCUCAAUGCAAACACCAAAUAACUUUAUUUUAAGUUCAAAACUAAUCCCGAAGGUAAAGGAAGUGUGCGAUGGUGAUCUUAUCAACCUUGGAAUCACUUCCAACACAGAUCGUCACCUCGCCCUCAACUAGUCUUUAUUCAUUUUAUAAUUCCUGUUUCAAGUUACUAAUCAUAGCAACUGAACCAGUAUCAAAUACCCAGGGGCUACUAUGAACACUAGUAAGUACACACAUCAAUAACAUGUAUAUCAUAUAUACUUUUGUUUACUUUGCCAUCCUUUUUAUCCGCCAAGUAUUUGGGGCAGUUCCGCUUCCAGUGGCCAUUUUCCUUUGCAGUAGAAGCACUCAGUUUCAGGCUUGGGUCUAGCUUUGGGCUUCUUUAUGGGAGUGGCAACUUGCUUGCCAUUCUUCUUGAAGUUCCCUUUCUUUCCCUUGCCCUUUUACUUGAAACUAGUGGUCUUGUCAAUCAUCAACACUUGAUGCUUUUCUUGAUUUUUACCUUCGCCGAUUUUAGCAUCCCGAAGAGCCCGGGGAAUCCUUUUCGUCAUCCCUUGCAUAUUAUAGUUCAUCACAAAGUUCCAGUAACUUGGUGAUAGUGACUAGAGAACUCUAUCAGUCACUAUCUUAUCUAGAAGAUUAACUCCCACUUGAUUCAAGAGAUUGUAGUACUCAGACAUUCUGAGCACAUGCUCACUGGUUGAGCUAUUCUCCUCCAUCUUGUAGGCAAAAUACUUGUCAGAGGUCUCAUACCUCUCGACUCGGGCAUGAGUUUGAAAUACCAAUUUCAGCUCUUGGAACAUCUCAUAUGCUCCAUGGCGUUCAAAACAUUUUUGAAGUCCCUGUUCUAAGCCAUAAAGCAUGGUGCACUAAACUAUCAAGUAGUCAUCAUACCGAGCUUGUCAAACGUUCAUAACGUCUGCAUCUGCUCCUACAAUAGGUCUGUCACCUAGCGCUGCAUCAAGGACAUAAUUCUUCUGUGCAGCAAUGACGAUAAUCCUUUGAUCACGGACCCAGUCCGCAUCAUUGCUACUAUCAUCUUUCAACUCAGUUUUCUCUAGGAACAUAUCAAAAAUAAAACAGGGGAGCUAUACACGUGAGCUAUUGAUCUACAACAUAGAUAUGCAAAUACUAUCAGGACUAAGUUCAUGACCAAUUUAAGUUCAAUUAAUCAUAUUAUUUAAGAACUCCCACUUAGAUAGACAUCCAUCCAGUCAUCUAAAUGAUCACGUGAUCCAUAUCAACUAAACCAUGUCCGAUCAUCACGUGAGAUGGAGUAGUUUUCAAUGGUGAUCAUCUCUAUGUUGAUCAUAUCUACUAUAUGAUUCACGUUCGACCUUUCGGUCUCAGUGUUCCGAGGCCAUAUCUGCAUAUACUAGUCUCGUCAUGUUUAACCCGAGUAUUCUACACGUGCAAAACUGGCUUGCACCCGUUGUAUGUGAACGUAGAGCUUAUCACACUCGAUCAUCACGUGGUGUCUCGAUACGAUGAACUGUAGCAAUGGUGCAUACUCAAGGAGAACACUUAUACCUUGAAAUUUAGCGAGGGAUCAUCUUAUAAUGCUACCGCCAUACUAAGCAAAAUAAGAUGCAUAAAGGAUAAACAUCACAUGCAAUCAAAAUAUGUGACAUGAUAUGGCCAUCAUCAUCUUGUGCCUUUGAUCUCCAUCUCCAAAGCACCAUCAUUAUCUCCAUCUUCACCGGCUUGACACCUUGAUCUCCAUCGUAGCAUCGUUGUCGUCUCGCCAACUAUUGCUUCUACGACUAUCGCUACCGCUUAGUGAUAAAGUAAAGCAAUUACAUGGCGAUUGCAUUUCAUACAAUAAAGGGACAACCAUAAGGCUCCUGCCAGUUGCCGAUAACUUUUACAAAACAUGAUCAUCUCAUACAACAAUUUAUAUAUCAUCACGUCUUGACCAUAUCACAUCACAACAUGCCCUGCAAAAACAAGUUAGACGUCCUCUACUUUGUUGUUGCAAGUUUUACGUGGCUGCUACGGGCUUUUAGCAAGAACCGUUCUUACCUACGCAUCCACAAUGAUUUUUUGUAAAGUGUGAUGUUUUAACCUUCAACAAGGACCGGGCGUAGUCAAACUCGAUUCAACUAAAGUUGGAGAAAAAGACACCUGCCUGUCACCUAUGUGCGAAGCACGUCGGUAGAACCAGUCUCAUGAACGUGGUCAUGUAAUGUCGGUCCGGGCCGCUUCAUCCAACAAUACCGCUGAAUCAAAGUAAGACGUUGGUGUGGUAAGCAGUAUGACUAUUAUCGCCCACAACUCUUUGUGUUCUACUCGUGCAUAUAACAUCUACGCAAAGACCUGGCUUGGAUGCCACUGUUGGGGAACGUAGUAUUUAAAAAAAAAUUCCUAUGAUCACGCAAGAUCUAUCUAGGAGAAGCAUAGCAAUGAGCUGGGAGAGUGUGUCCAUGUACCCUCGUAGACUGAAAGCGGAAGCGUUUAGUAACGCGGUUGAUGCAGUCGCACGUCUUCGCGAUCCAACUGAUCCAAGCACCGAAUGUACGGCACCUCCAUGUUCAGCACACGUUCAGCACGAUGACGUCCCUCGAGCUCUUGAUCCAGUUGAGGACGAGGGAGAGUUCCGUCAGCACAAUGGCGUGGCGGUGGUGAUGAUGAGGUAGGGCUUCAUCUAAGCACUAUGACGAUAUAACCGAGGUGUGUAACUGUGGAGGGAGGCACCGCACACGGCUAAGAGAAGACUUGGUGUCUCUUUGGGGUGCCCCCUGCCCACGUAUAUAAAGGAGGGAGGGAGAGAGGCCGGCCCUCCUAGGGGCGCGCCAAGUGUAGGGAGUCCUACUAGGACUCCCAAGUCCUAGUAGGAUUCCCUUUCCUUUUCGGAGUGGGAAAGAAGGAAAGGAGGGAGAGGGAGAAGGAAAAGGGGGGCCGCGCCCCCACCCCUUGUCCAAUUCGGUUUGGGCAGGGGGACGCGCGCGCCACCUCGUGGCCUUUCUUCCCUCUCUCCACUAAAGCCCAAUAAGGCCCAUUAACUUCCCCCGACGAAUUCCCGUAUCCGGUACUCCGAAAAAUACCCGAAUCACUCGGAAUCAUUCCGAUGUCCGAAUAUAGCCUUCCAAUAUAUGAAUCUUUACCUCUCGACCAUUUCGAGACUCCUUGUCAUGUCCGUCAUCGGGACUCCGAACAAACUUCGGUCAUCAAAUCACAUAACUCAUAAUACAAAUCAUCAUCGAACGUUAAGCGUGCAGACCCUACGAGUUCGAGAACUAUGUAGACAUGACCGAGACACAUCUCCGGUCAAUAAACAAUAGCAGAACCUGGAUGCUCAUAAUGGCUCCUACAUAUUCUAUGAAGUUCUUUAUCGGUCAAAUCGCAUAACAACAUACGUUAUUCCCUUUGUCAUCGGUAUGUUACUUGCCCGAGAUUCAAUUGUCGGUAUCAUCUUACCUAGUUCAAUGUCAUGACCGGCAAGUCUCUUUACUCGUUCCGUAAUGCAUCAUCCCGCAAAUAACUCAUUAGUCACAUUGCUUGCAAGGCUUAUAGUGAUGUGCAUUACCGAGAGGGCCCAGAGAUACCUCUCCAAUACAUGGAGUGACAAAUCCUAAUCACGAUCUAUGCCAACCCAACAAACACCUUCGGAGACACCUGUAGAGCAUCUUUAUAAUCACCCAGUUAUGUUGUAACGUUUGAUAGCACACAAGGUGUUCCUCCGGUAUUCGGGAGUUGCAUAAUCUCAUAGUCAUAUGAACAUGUAUAAGCAAUAGCAAUAAAACUUAACGAUCAUAAUGCUAAGCUAACGGAUGGGUCUUGUCCAUCACAUCAUUCUCUAAUGAUGUGAUCCCGUCCAUCAAAUGACAACACAUGUCUAUGGUCAGGAAACUUAACCAUCUUGGAUUAACGAGCUAGUCUAGUAGAAGCAUACUAGGGACACGUUGUUUUGUCUAUGUAUUCACACAUGUAUUAAGUUUCUGGUUAAUACAAUUCUAGUAUGAAUAAUAAACAUUUAUCAUGAUAUAAGAAAAUAAAAUAAUAACUUUAUUAUUGCCACUAGGGCAUAUUUCCUUCAUAUUAUCCCAAGGAAGCCAUGCAAAGUUGGUUACUUUUGAAACAUUUUCACACCUAGCUAAGAGGUUUUGUCCCUGCUAUAAACCCCAUCACACCCAUCCUUUUAGAGACCUUUUGUUAAACCAUUCAGCUACAAGCUUAUGUAGCAAGAUUGCUAGAGUUCCGAGAGAUCCUUAAUAACUUUGCUCUUGUGAGUUCAUCCGGAUUCGCGAGAAGGAGUCUUUGGUACUCCCUAAUUCUUGUUCCACGGUUCUGGUCGUUUUGUGGGUUAGACCCAGUUUGUGGUUCUUCGAUUCUUCGGACAUCAGGUUAGAGUUCUUACAGCUUCGGUCAGCCAUCCCGAACCUAUGAGUCACAUCCGACCUGGACAGGUAUAAAUCUAGUUAUCACGGCUGCAUGUAGCUAGUUAUCCCUCCCGAUUCAAUCCUACAAUGUGAUGAUCGGGCGACUGUCGGGUGUGAACUCGUUCAAUGAGUUUGCCCCUAUCACGUGGCUGGGAGACGGCAUGAUGAGAGACCCCCUAUCCAAGACACCGUAAGUAGCCCCUGAACCGGUCUUCAAGUUUGAAUGUACCUCGGUUCCUCCGACUAGAUCUUCUUCUUCGGUCUUGAACGUUGGUUCAACGAACCCUUCCCGCGUAACCAAGCCCUUGGUUGUCGUGUCGCAUCCCAUGAGUUUCAAGACCACCUCGGUCUUGGAUAAGCACCUCUUCAUCUCCGUGCCGAUCGAAACGUUGGAAAUCUUCCCACAUAAUCAUUCCUAACUGCGAAGUAUUCCCGCGCUCGGUUUACAAUGAUGGUCAGGUUCAAUUAUGACAGCGUAGGCCGAUCCCAUCUGUCAGCCCAUGUGUUUGGAAGGUGCCUUUGUCUCAACGGUCAAUAUAACUUGUGUACGUGGGUCGGGGCCCCAUCAUCAUCACGUCUUACCAGAAAACUGAUUGUGCGCCUUGAUACAUAUGGUAAUUAAUCAAGUGCUCUCUUGAUUCGUGUGCGUGAUCAGCAGACAAUGUAUGGGAAAAUGGAGGAAUUAUUACCACGCGGCGUCGUAAUCCUGUAGUCGUUUCGUGUAUUACUCCGCCUAUAAAAGGCCAUAGGCGAGGACGAGCAAAGUUUAGGCUCCCAAUCCUACCGGUCUUUGUCUUCUUCCUCGAGCCCCCAAGCCCAACCGUCCUUCACGUGCCCGAGCGCAAAAUAUCUGCCCGCUCCUUCUCCAUCCUAAUCUGACUAUGGCCGGAAAGGGGAAGACGACGAUAGGGCCCUCGGCUGCCUCCUAGACAAGGGGGGGGGGGGUGGAGGACCGCCACGGUGACACGGGAAACAGUCCUUGCUAUACAAGAAAUAAAAACUCUACUCCAUAGUGAGGACUAAAGUUCCUGAAGUUUGACGGUGUUAGAGCAUCUCUAACAAAUCCCACAUAUCAUUGUCCCGCAAAACCACUUUACAGCUCCCUUUAAAACUGAUUUGCGGUACCGCACAGUCUACGAUAGAAUAGAUACCACAAAUUCCUACAGUAAAAACAAACAUUCCAUCUAUCGGUGCAUUUAUUUUUUUCCUUUCUCUUUUUUCCAUGGUCUUCUUCUUCCCCAAAUCACCCGCACAAGCAGCUGCCCUAGCCUCCACCACUUUCGCUGCUCGAUGGCCGUCUGACCCUGGCUGCGACCUUGAGCCCACAUCCAUGGCAAAGCUGCUGCAGCCACCCAGGAGCUCGAGGGGCAUGACAGCUGUCGGGCCCAGGUGGCAACCACGAGCCCGCAUCCAUGGUGGAGCUACCACGGCCAACCAUGAGCUUGAGGGGAGCAAUGGCCUAUGAGGCAAGGAACCGUAGAGACGUGGACCGGCUGGUCGGCGACGGUGGGGACGGCCGGAAUCGGGAGCUGGCCACAACGGCGGUGGAGGUUGACGUGAAACUUCUCUCCCGCCAACAAUUUUCUGGUAUAGAGGGAGAUCUAAAAUUUGCGUCCAAAACUCCAUAUCAUGAGGAUGAGUUUCUUUCAGGGGAGCUGUAUAAAUUUUAUAGGACAAGUCUGUUUUGUCGGAUAUGAAAUGGACGGUCUUUUCCCCGAUCAAAUAAAAUGGCAGUUGUAUAGUUGGGGGUCUGCUAGAGAUGCUCUUAUACAAGUCCCUUGGUUACUGACAAAAUAAAAUAGGGAAUACGACAAACUGUGGUCGGUGGACCAGUCUUGAUGGCCCUAAAUGUGUGUGGACUGGCCAGGCAUAAUGUGAAUGUCGUGUUUGCUUGGUGUCCUGCCUUAAAGAACUAGUACUCCAUUUUAAAUUGCAAUGCCACAUAUUACAAUGAAAAAUAAGCCGUGAAUCAUGUGAUUAAAAUAGAUAACGACAAGAUUAGAUAGGAAGAAGGAGUUGCCUGGUGCACAAGCGUCUGUUUCGGAUUUCCUGGCCCUAGUGCAUGGUGCCUGGACCAUGGAGAAACUAGGCAUGGUGUCACAUGCCUCAACUAGGGAGAAAACCAGAGUAUCUACCAAACAGACCCAGGCAUGCAAGCAUAUGUCCAUGCCAGGUUAGCGUUGUCCAGUGUGAUUCCUAUUUAGCUUUAAGCGCCCAUUCCUGCAAACAGGCACACACGCUCCUCCCUUCCUUCGCUACUAACAGGUCGCCCAUAUAUGGUAUAUCUGAGAGAGUUGUUCCCGGUUUUGGGAAGCUUCCAGAAGCUUUCCUAGCUGAUUUUGGGAAGCUUCUGUAAACUUCCGGUUGGUUUUUCUGUUCAGGUUUCUCUGGAAUGGUUAUGUGCGCGUUUCUUUUCUUUUUUGCUUUUGAUUUUCUUUUCCUUUUCAUAUUUUUUGUUCGUUUUUCAUUUUUUUGUUUUUCUAUUUCGUUCUUUUUCAUUUUUGUUUUUAAAAUUCGAUAAAUUUUUAGAAUUUUGAUUAAACUUUUCAAAUUUAAUUAACAUUUUUUUAAAAUUGAUGAAAAAAUUAAAACGCGGUGAACUUUUUUUCAAUUCGGUGAACUUUUUCAAAAUCGAUGAACCUUUUUCCAAAUUUGAUGAAUUUUCAAAAAACGAUGAACUUUUUUCAAUAUCAUUGAUUUUUUUCAAACUUGUGAACGCUUUUGAAAAUUUUGUAUACAUCACGGAUUUUUGUGAACUUUUUUGGACCAAGCGACCAGUCAAAGGCCACCCAGCGAACCAGCGUGUUUUGGGCUGGGCCCAAUAGCGUGCAUGUGUGAGCGCCAGGAUGCCUGGCGCCGAAGGCGCUGACUAGGAGCUCCCAUUAUCCAGGACGCAACCUAAACACACUGAUACUCACUGUGAGGAAUGGGCCAAUAAAUUAAUGAUUGGGAGGUAAAAAAAAUUGCUGGGCCGAUUUGGGACAUCCAUUCCUUGGACAAGUAUUUCCGGACGGAGGGAGUACAAUGUAAAAAAUGUUUGGUAGCAUUAAAAAAUGAUUGAACUGUAUAUGUUAAAUGCUUAACAUGUACUCAACAGAAUUUUCAAAAUUGGUAUUUGAAAACAUGUUCUGAGAGCUUAAAUGAGAAAAAUAUUUGUGAAAAUUUCAGCAUGUAUCAGGAAAAUAUUCCACGUGUACAAAAAAUGUAUAACAUGUAUUGAAAACAGUAGACAUGUAUUGAAUAAAAGGAAAAGGAAAAAAUGAAUAAUCGAAUAAACCCAACUAAGAAACAGAUAAAAACAUGAAAAAAAAAACACAUGGAUGGUUCUAAAACCAGUCCAUACUAGUCUAUAGAACCAUCCUGAAACUGGUUUAAUGGGUCAUGUUUGGUCCGCGAGAUGUUUAUAGUAGUGGGGUUGGUCCGAGUGACGGUCACUACUCAACUCGUGCCUUUUUCCCUUCAGGUCCACCUCCUUGUCGAGGUUGUGGUGACCUCCACAUUUUUUAAAAAAACAUAUGAGCACUUUUUUUUGGAAAAAGCAUUAAUUUCUGGAAAAGGCAAAAAAACUUGAAAUAGGAAGAUUUUUUUAAAUUCACAAACAUUUUUUGAAAACAAGACCAUUUUUAAGGCAGAGAAAUGGACAUUUUUCGAAUUUGAGAAGCAUUUUUUUAAAUGGAAACUUGUUUUGAACUUUCAAAACCAUUUUGGAAAAUGUGUUUUUAUCACGAAAAUUAUUUUGAACUUGUAAACAUUUCAAAAAUAAUAAUAAUUUUCUAAUUACUAUUAUUUUUAAAAUGAAAUUUAUUUUGUAACUCCCGAAACAAUUUGGAAUUUUUUUAAAAUGUGAACCUUUUGUGAAUUUCGAGAAAAAAUUGAACAAAAACAUAAAUUUCAAGUUCCAAAUAAUUUUGAAAAUGGGAACAAAUUUUGAAAUUCUAACAUUUAACGAAAAUUAUUACCAGAAACGAAAUUUUCGAAAAUUAAAAUAAUAAAUUUAUGAAAAAGGAAAAUAUAUAUUGGAAGGGAAAAUUAAAAAAUAGAAAAAACACAUAAAAAAUGGAAAUGGGCUGGCCCAACAUUGGGCGACAGAUGGUAAGCUCCAACUAUAUGCGGCGCUGUGCGACAAAUAAGGUUCUCCAGCAGGGUGCGCAGGAUAUAAAUGUGGGGCUUUUCUGGGCCUUAGCACAUGCAGCCCACGUACGAAAUUCUAGACAAAACUCUUUUGUUUUCUUUUGUAGCAGCUGUACCACAAAAAUUUAGUACCACCUCGGAUAUAAAAAAUAUAUUUUUGGCGGUGAACGGAUGAAAAAAUUGACGAAAAGCACCUUGAUUUAUUAGUAGGUAUAGAUAUAGAUAUAGAUAUAGCUAUAGAUAUAGAUUGGAUCAACUUAUGGCUUCCACUCUGUUCUGAGAGCUUGAUGUCAAGCCUUGAGAAGUUUCACGUCAUGCAUCUUCCAUAGCCACUUCAUAGGCAAAUUUCCCAUAGAAAGACCCUUUCAUAUCAGUGCAAAGCAAUCACCAAAAAGAGACCCAUGUGUUUCACUAGUUGCAUACCGAUCAAAAUGUUGCAUCAUGCAUGAGAUAUGCCAAUAUUUGGUGAUUCGCCUAAAAUACUCCCCUGUGCACAAUACUUUGUUGAGAACAGUUGUGCAAGGACGGAAAAAUGGUUUUCUAAGGAGUUGCAUCAAGAAUACUCCCCUAUGGAUGAUACUUUGUUGAGACUUAACUCAAUGGCAUAGCUAGACACAAAAGUCUAUAUUUUCCUCAUUUAAUCGCUUCAAAACAAAUCUUCAAGUUUUCUCCAAGGCUUGGGGGGAGGGGCAAGUAGCUCCUCCGUUGGACCUAAGAGCACUUGUUCACAAUGAGUGGCCUUGCAACCUAUGCUUGUCUCGCCAAGAACAUGGCUAAGUCAUGUUGAAUUAGUAUUAGUUGGGGAAAAACUAGUGUGAUGCUUGCCACUUAUUUUUAAGGUUGACUGGACCGGCUUUUCUAUCAUUGUCUGACAUUGUUCUACCCUUUUUCAUUUUUUUGGUAACAAAAGCAAAAGAGCGAUGACCCUCCUCACUUCCUGCAAGAGUAGGCAUCCUAUGGUUGAGGCGAGAUGGAUCCACCGCUAAGUCUUAUUGGUACAUCUUGAUUUUUCUUAAUAUCCAUACCCAGCGUGACGUUCUCUGGCACAUUUUGUCCUUAGAAUUUGGUUCUAUUUGAAUUCUAAUUAUUGUGUGUGUACUCUUCAUAUUACGCUUCAAAAACUCAUAGGUCUUAUAAUGAGGUGUUUGAAUAAUUAUUUAUGUAAAAGAAUCUUAGACAUGUAACUAUUUAUUUACUACUUUCGAACCAGCUUGAAAAUGAGCAUCGGGCUAUUGCUUGCCUUCUUGGGGCUGAUGUUGACACAAACAUUGUCCCUCCUGCAUAGUGCUUCGAGAUGAAGGUUUCUCGUCACCACUGAUGACAUGGCACAAUUAUGCAUAUUGGUAGGCGUGGGGUUGGCAAUCGCCAUUAUGCAGUCCAUCUCAUCACUACUCAGUGACAGUGGAAAGGAGGAGAUGGCAACCUUGGUGGAGCUAGGAAGGUCGGCCAUUCGCCGAGCAUGUGUCUUCAAUGUUGGUGUGUCGCUCGUAGGUUUUAUGGUCUGCCUUGUAGGGCCUGAUCAUUGCAGUUUCACUGUGCAUGGGUAAGAUGCACUGUUGGCCACAAGUAAUGAGGGUUUUGUUCUUGACCGAGAUCGGCAUCUCCUCUGGCUUGAGCACGUACGCAUGCGGUGCGCAUCAGCUUGGCCUGCUUAUUCAGGACCAACUGAUGGUAGGUUUUGUUUUAAAAAUCUGUCCUAAAAUAAGUAUAUAAUUAGAAUAGUGUGUAUUGUAUACUGCAUAUUAAGUAGGCUUUGUCCUCCAUGAAUGAUAUGUUAUGUGCACGUAGUUCCAGUUAGUGAUGGAGCUAGCCAAAGAUGUCGGNNNNNNNNNNNNNNNNNNNNNNNNNNNNNNNNNNNNNNNNNNNNNNNNNNNNNNNNNNNNNNNNNNNNNNNNNNNNNNNNNNNNNNNNNNNNNNNNNNNNNNNNNNNNNNNNNNNNNNNNNNNNNNNNNNNNNNNNNNNNNNNNNNNNNNNNNNNNNNNNNNNNNNNNNNNNNNNNNNNNNNNNNNNNNNNNNNNNNNNNNNNNNNNNNNNNNNNNNNNNNNNNNNNNNNNNNNNNNNNNNNNCCCCCCUUAAAUUACAUAUCUCCGCCAUUAUCUGAUGUAUAUACUUUGUUUUUCCGCUCCCAAUAGUACUAAUUUCAAUUGUGUGAAACUAUUGAACACACCCAAUGCAUGUUGUGGGAAGCCAUUGUUAUUUAUUUGUUUUUCACUUACGUUGUAAAGGUUUGUGCCUUAUUUAAGUUCCCAGCUUUUUUUUGCAACAUAAAGGAGGGUAUGACUGAAACUUUGUCACUUUAGUUCAUUAUCGGAAGUAAUGAACUUGGCGUGAGCUAUCUUUUCAGGGAAACAAAAUAAAAUCAUGAGAUAUAUAUAUAAAUGAUAGGUUAUACCUAGGGUGUUUUCUAUUUAGCAUUUUAGCUGAUUUUUGUUCUAACAACAGUCGUAUUUCGGAUCCAAUAGUGUGUAGUAUACCAUAAUGUUCAACAAUACUUUCCCCUUCAGCUUCCCGAUCAGGCUACUGGGUUGCAUGUCUUUUUGUUUUCCUUCUAGAUCCGACAAGCAAUUUGUUUUCCAGGCCUUGUCUCUUGUUUUCUCGUGUCCCAUUUUUAUCUCCUGGGAUUUUGUAUGGGCCUGAGAGGCAGGGCUCAUGACCAAAGUAAAAAAACAGUAUGAAAGAAGAAAAAGAGAACAUAAGUACAUAACACGCUGGAUGUCUCAAAACACGCAUAAAAAUAUAGACCAUUUUUUAUAUAAUAUACUAGAAAAGAAGCUUAGGAUGUGUAUUUAUGGCGCUCGGCCAUAGAUUCUUGCAUUGUCUGUGUUGAGGGUAAAUGCGUGAGGAUCUGUAGCUCGGUGUUUUCUGGGGAGUUACGGCCGGUUAUUAAGAGCUCCUCCAAUGCAAAGGUGCUUAGAUGAGAUGCUAAAUGCAUUAAAUAGCUUAGCAACUCAACUUCCCAAUGCAUAGGUGUUUAACUUAUUGUUGCUAAGCUCACUUUAUUUAAUGAUUUAGCACAUAAACUCUUCCAUGCAUUGGUCAGCUUAUUUCAUUUAUGUGGUUUGUCUAGGUUCACAUGCUUGGCAUGGUUUUUCCUGGGGUCACGAAAGUACUCUCUCUCCUCCUCCUUAAUUACUGCGCCAUGUCAUUUUUUUGCUUAUAUGACAUGCUUAGCAUGUAUCACUGUGGAGCAUUGGGAAGGGCCUAAAUCUGGUAUUGUGAGCGGUAUGUAUGGGCAUGUUUGUACGCUGGACUAUGGAGAGGACGGACUUAGUUAGGCCCUUCCCAGUGCUCCACUGUGUACAUGUGCUAAGAGUGCCACAUAAGCAGAGAAAAUGAUGUGGCAAAACAAUUAAAUAAGAGAGAGAACAUUAUGGUGACCCCGAAGAAAACGGUGUUAAGCACGUGGACCUAUGCAAAAUGACUACCAACCAAUACAUGAAGGAGUUUUAUUUUUAAACAAUUCAAUGAGUGAAGCUUAGCUACAAAAGCUAAGUAUCUAUGCAUUGAGGAGACUAGUUGCUAAGUUUUUUAGUACACUUAGCACCUUAUGUAAACACCAACGGAUUGAAAGUGGCCUUGGUAUGACCGAUGGUUCUGGGCGAGUAUGCCUUGCAGGCGCUUGGAGAUGCAAUUAGGGUUCUCGCGGAGACACAGAUCUGCUAGGACGAGUCCCUAUUUUGGAUAAGUGGAAGCACAACUCGCCCACAAUAUUUCAUCACUUACAAAAGAUAUGGAGUUUGUUUCUAAGAAGCUACAAUGAAUUCAGAAUAGGAUACCAGAUCAAUUGGGUAAUUACAGCCGUACAAAAUAAGCUAUUGCUGUAUGACGACCUAUUACCAUUAGAUUGUAAUUAUAUUAUAAUGGAAUAGAACUCCAUUUUUUCUGCAAAGAAAGGGGAAGGUCAAUCUAGAGGAGCUUGGCUGGACUAAGAGGUGAGUAUAAAUCCAGAUAGCACAUUUUAAUCUACUAUUUGCAUGCACAAGAUGUAGAUGGUAUGCCUCAUGUGAUUUUGCUAAUUACCAGUAUGAUUCUUAAAUAUUUAUUAAUGAUACAAUGUAGUAUUGUCUCAUUGAUAAUCAAUUGAUUUGGUAUUGUUUAUGGAUUGAUAUAAUUGAUUUUUUGUUUGCGAAUUCAAUGUUAUAAUCGGUAAAAUUGUAGUGGGUUGAUCUAGUAUACUUUUAGCUUUCUCCUUGUUUUAAGUUACAAAUUGUUUCUUCAAAUUUCAGCACUUCCAUGUCAUAAUAAGUCUGUAUCAAGUGAGAAAAUGAGAAAGGAAUCCAAGUUUAAGAUGCACACAUGUAGAAUACAUCCCUAUGUAUACGUAGAAUUAUUUUAGAAUUUUUUGAAACUUAAAAGAUUGAUUUUUUAAUGAAGCUCAAGUUCUAAAAAUACUAGUAUAUUUCAUACGACCUAAAAAUCAAAAAAUAUAGGAGAACACGCCUCAUCUGAUCCGGUUGCCCACCAUCCAUUGUGGCCAACACUUGUGAUUGGGUCUGCUACACCGAGACAUGGUAUUGCAUCCUAUGAUCCGCUUUGCCUCACUGUCCCACCUCCGUCCAGAACCUUGUAUCGAUUCGGUCCGCUUCUCGUCAUCGAGCCCACAGUUGCUGCCAGGCCCGCCAUAGGGCCGACCCAUAGACCGGACAAAAAGGGUGACCGCCCCGAGACCCAAAUAUUAAACAUGGUACUAACCAACAUACUACUAUUAUCUAAGUCCAUCAUAUGAAAAUUUUGGUGGGCUUGUAAACAGGGGAAAGGAAACCAACAUGGGUGUCAUGGGAAGUGAUGACAAGACCUAAUUAUCUAGGAGGUCUAGGCUUCAGGGAUCUGGAACUUUUAAAUUUGGCUUUGCUAGCAAAACAGUCUUGGAGAAUUUUGCAGGAGCUGACAUCUUUGAGCACAAGGAUCCUUAAGGCCGGAAGUACCUUUCUACACCCAGGAGCAAAUGCUCCUGGUAUGAAUAGUAAAAUUAAAAAACUAGAAAAAAUGUUCAAAAAAUUCUGAAAUUUUUUUGUGACAUACUUUCACAAAUGUUUGAUGUGCACGCAAAAUUUCAUUGCGAAAUCACAUUGGUGGAAGGCGUGCCAAAAAAACAAAAUCAGAGAUCCAAAAUGCUUUUGUAAGUAACAUUUUCAGAGCAUCGAUUUUGUUUUUUUACCACGCCUUCCAUCAAUGUGAUUUUGCGAUGAAAUUUUGUAGGCACAACAAACAUUUAUGGAAGUAUGGCACAAAAAAAUUUCAGAAUUUUUUGAAUUAUUUUUGAAUUUAUUUGAUUUUAUUGUUCACACCAGGAGCAUUUGCUCCUGGGUGUAGAAACUCCAUGUCCCCUUAAGGCUUCCUACUUCCCUGAUGUUACAAUCAUUAACGUCGAACUGGGUUCUCAGCCAUAAAAUCUGGUGUGGUGUCUUGGAAGCUAGAGACAUAGUGAAGCAGGGAAUUAUUCGUCGAAUUGGGCAUGGCCAGUCUACGGAUAUCUGGCCUAAUAAUUGGAUUCCAAAAGAGUCUUCUUGGCGACCAAUAGUAUGUCUUGUUGUGGACCCGCUUGUGAAGGUAUCUGCAUUAUUAUCACCGACCAUAGCCUCGUGGAACGAAAAAAUGGUUUGGAGUGUCUUCCUACCCAUUGAUGCUGAUGAGAUACUCAGGAUCCCUGUGUGCACUCGAAAAACAACCGAUUUUUGGGCAUGGCAUCCAGAUAACAAAGGCUGAUUCACUGUUAGCUCGGCACAGACGUAUAUGAUCAAGACGAAAGUCCAGAGAAAUAAUUGGCUUAGAGGGAGGAGUGGAUCCUCAGAUAAUAUGAGAGAAAAGUCAUGGACUUAGCUAUGGAAUAUCUUCAUCGAAGAUCCGGGUGUUUUGUGAGACUAGCCGGACAUUCCCUACCGACCACUAACGUGCUACACGAUCGAAAUAUGGCACAUGCUAACUAGUGCCCACUAUGUGGAGGGAAUACUCGUGGCAGCAUGCACUUCUUUCGUGCACGAUGGCCAGAUGUACAUGGGCACUCUCGGAUGUAGAAUUAGUGGAGAGGAUGACAAAUAGUAAGGAACCUACAACAAAGAACUGGAUGUUUGAACUUCAUGACAAUCUGAGUCAUGACAACUUCACUAGGAUGGUUGUGACCUUACGGGCUAUACGGUAUUGAUACGUCUCCAACGUAUUUAUAAUUUUUUAUUGUUCCACGCUAUUAUAUUAUCUGUUUUGGAUGUUUUAUAUGCAUUAAUAUGCUACUUUAUAUUAUUUUUGGGACUAACCUAUUAACCUAGAGCCCAGUGCCAGUUCCUGUUUUUCCCUGUUUUUGAGUUUCGUAGAAAAGGAAUACCAAAUGGAGUCCAAACGGAAUAAAACAUUUGCAAUGAUUUUUCUUGGACCAGAAGACAACCAGGAGACUUGGAGAUGAAGUCGGGGGAGGCACGAGGCGGCCACAAGGAUGGAGGGCGCGCCCAGAGGGGUAGGGUGCGCCCCCACCCUUAUGGGCCCCUCAUGCACCUCCUGACCUAAUUCUUUUGCCUAUAUAUUCCCAUAUAUCCCCAAACCACCAGAGGCAUCCACGAAAACACUUUUCCACCGCCGCGACCUUAUGUACCCGUGAGAUCCCAUCUAGGGACCUUUUCCGGCACGCUGUCGGAGGGGGAUUCGAUCACGGAGGGCUUUGACAUCAACUCUAUUGCCCUUCCGAUGAAGCGUGAGUAGUUUACCACAGACCUACGGGUCCAUAGCUAGUAGCUAGAUGGCUUCUUCUCUCUCUUUGAUUCUCAAUACCAAGUUCUCCUCGAUGUUCUUGGAGAUCUAUUCGAUGUAAUACUUUUUUGCGGUGUGUUUGCCGACAUCCAAUGAAUUGUGGAUUUAUGAUUAGCUUAUCUAUGAAUAUUAUUUGAAUCUCCUCUGAAUUCUUUUAUGCAUGAUUUGAUAUCUUUGUAAUUCUCUUCGAACUAUCUGUUUGGUUUGGCCAACUAGAUUGUUUCUUCUUGCAAUGGGAGAAGUGCUUAGCUUUGGGUUCAAUCUUGCGGUGACCUUUCCCAGUGACAGUAGGGGCAGCAAGGCACAUAUUGUAUUGUUGCCAUCAAGGAUAAAAAAAUGGGGUUUUCAUCAUGUUGCUUCAGUUAAUUCCUCUACAUCAUGUCAUCUUAUUUAAUGCAUUACUCCGUUCUUUAUGAACUUAAUACUCUAGAUGCAUGCUGGAUAGCAAUCGAUGUGUGGAGUAAUAGUACUAGAUGUAGAAUUGUUUCGGUCUACUUGACAUGGACGUGAUGCCUAUAUUCAUGAUCAUUGCCUUAGAUAUCGUCAUAACUUUGCGCUUUUCUAUCAAUUGCUCGGCAGUAAUUUGUUCACCCACCGUAAUAUUUUCUAUCUUGAGAGAAGCCUCUAGUGAAACCUAUGGCCCCCGGGUCUAUUUUCCAUCAUAUAAGUUUUCGAUCUACUAUUUUGCAAUAUUUUACUUUCCAAUCUAUAAACCAAAAAUACCAAAAAUAUUUACUUUAUCGUUUAUCUAUCUCUAUCAGAUCUCACUUUUGCAAGUAACCCUGAAGGGAUUGACAACCCCUUUAUCGCGUUGGGUGCAAGUUAUUUGAUUGUUUGUGCAGGUAUUCGGUGACUUGUGCUUUGUCUCCUACUGGAUCGAUACCUUGGUUCUCAAUGUUGGAAAUAUGCCCUAGAGGCAAUAAUAAAAUAGUUAUUAUUAUAUUUCCUUGUUCAUGAUAACUGUCUAUUGUUCAUGCUAUAAUUGUAUUAACCAGAAAUCAUAAUACAUGUGUGAAUACAUAGAUCACAACAUGUCCCUAGUGAGCCUCUAGUUGACUAGCUCAUUGAUCAAUAGAUGGUUGUGGUUUCCUGGCCAUGGACAUUGGAUGUCGUUGAUAACGGGAUCGCAUCAUUCGGAGAAUGAUGUGAUGGACAAGACCCAAUCCUAAGCAUAGCACAAGAUCGUGUAGUUCGUUUGCUAGAGCUUUUCUAAUGUCAAGUAUCAUUCCCUUCGACCAUGAGAUUGUGCAACUCCCGAAUACCGUAGGAAUGCUUUGGGUGUAUCAAACGUCACAACGUAACUGGGUGGCUAUAAAGGUGCACUACAGGUAUCUCCGAAAGUGUCUGUUGAGUUGGCAUGAAUCGUGACUGGGAUUUGUCACUCCGUAUGAUGGAGAGGUGUCUCUGGGCCCACUCGGUAAUGCAUCAUCAUAACGAGCUCAAUGUGACUAAGGACUUAGCCACGGGAUCAUGCGUUACAGAACGAGUAAAGAGACUUGCCGGUAAUGAGAUUGAACAAGGUAUAGGGAUACCGAUGAUCGAAUCUCGGGCAAGUAACAUACCGAUGGACAAAGGGAAUUGUAUACGGGAUUGAUUGAAUCCCCGACAUCGUGGUUCAUCCGAUGAGAUCAUAGUGGAACAUGUGGGAGCCAAUAUGGGUAUCCAGAUCCCACUAUUGGUUAUUGGCCGGAGAGGUGUCUCGGUCAUGUCUACAUGGUUCCUGAAGCCGUAGGGUCUACACACUUAAGGUUCGGUGACGCUAGAGUUGUUAUGGGAAAUUGUAUGUGGUUACCGAAGGUUGUUUGGAGUCCCAGAUGAGAUCCCGGACGUCACGAGGAGUUCUAGAAUGGUCCAGAGGUGAAGAUUUAUAUAUGGGAAGUCCAGUUUCAGUCGUCGGAAUGGUUUCGGGGGUUAUUGGUAUUAUACUGGGACCACCGAAAGGUGUCCGGGGGUCCACCGGGUGGGGCCACCUGCCUCGGACAACUUAAUGGGAUGAAUAUGAGAGGGAACCAGCCCCUAGUGGGCUUGUGCGCCCCCAAGGGCCCUAAGGCGCCUAGGGUUGGAAACCCUAGGGGGAGGGGGCGCCUCCCACUUGCUUGGGGGGCAAGUUUCCCCAUCCGGGCCGCCGCCCCCCCUCUUAGAUGCAUCUAGGGGGCUGCCCCCUCUUCCCUUCCCCCUAUAAAUAGUGGGGGGUGGGAGGGCAGCCGCACCCCUUCCCUAGGCGCAGCCCCUCCCUCCUCCAACACCUCCUCCUCCUCCGUAGUGCUUGGCAAAGCCCUGCCGGAGAACCGCAAGCUCCACCACCACGCCGUCAUGCUGCCGGAGCUCUCCCUCAACUUCUUCUCUCCCCGUGCUGGAUCAAGAAGGAGGAGACGUCCCCGGGCUGUACGUGUGUUGAACGCGGAGUACGCACUACAAGAAAUGUGUCAACUAGUGACCUUCUGUCAGUGACCCUGGAAGAAAUGGUCAUAGAUCUAUGACCAUUUCAGACCAAUUGGUCAAAAGCUGUUCGGGGGGCUCCAAACCCUAAACCAUUGCGACCAUUUUGGCCAGAAAGGUCGUAAUUUCCUUACAUGAAAUGGUCAUAAAGCAAAUAGCGCUAGUCCGCUGCCUUAUUUCUAGUUGUUAACGACCAAUAUAGAUGGUCAUAGCCUUGUAAAUUGUGGUGGGUUGCUAUGACUAGGUGCCACCUCAUCAGUUUUGCCUAUGUGUCAUGUCCAUGUGGCAGUUUUUGCCCUAGGUUGUGAAGCAACCUAUAUUUCUCUCAUUCCCAAAAUUCUCAAAAAAAUCUCAUAAAUUCUUUGGGUCAUAUCUUCGUCAAAUAUGUAAAAACCUUCCUUGGCUAGUUCAAAAAUAAUUCAAAAAUAUUCCUUUUCCUAUUUUGUUCAAAACAACAGUUUGUGAAGGAAGUACCACUUUGGCAUAUCCAAAUAGUAUCUAUUUUCUACAGUGCUUUCCUAUGCACAAAUAACCAUCCUCCACCAAAUGCCAGCUCAAUCCAUUCAUUGUUUUGAGCCCAGCUUCAACAUUCGUAUUUAUGUCCAGUGUGGUAGUUUGCAAAGCAAAUACCACCUAGGCUCCUCCUUUUGAGCUGAAAAUUUGUGAAGACGGUCUUCUUAGUAACUGAUCAUCCUCAGCCAAAACUCACGCCCAUUAACCAUGUACAUUUCCCGUACCGCUAAUCAAACACUUGGCUGCUAAUUCAUGUUUGAGCAUCGAUCGGUCUCCUCGUGAGAAUCUUAUGUUCUAAUUUUCUUCCUAGCACCUAACUGGGGAGUGCCCAACCCACUAGACAUGCCUAGGCUGCCCAGAACACAUGGCAACGCCACGGUCACGCGGUGACCACGCGGCGGGCAUGCGACUUUACGCGCUCUAGAGUUAGGGCCCUCGGCCACUGCCCAAACCUCGACGUAUCGCCACCAAACCAUGUAUUUAUGAUUAAAUAGGUACUUAUGUAACUAGAAAUGAUUUUUGGAAAAAAUAAAUAGCAAACUAUGAGGCAGCUGCAGUUCAAAUUUGACCCGCUUCCAGCUGAAUCGGCGAAAAUUUGUCUUUUUCACGAGAGGUGGAUCAAAACUUUUUACACCCAACCAUUUUGUCAAUUUUGUAUUAAAUAUGUCCUAGUAUUUUAGAAAAUUGAUUUGGUCCAAUUUUGCAGCCAUUAUUUGGGAGGUCCUUCACAGAAAAACCUCCUUUUGGGCACUCGAAAAAUGGAAAAUGGUUUUUUCGUCCAAAGAAAAUGAAGACUUCCUUAGGCAACAUUGUUUGACAUUCCAAUAUGCACCCUUGUGCACAAUAUGAGAUCAUUUGAACAAACUAUGCCAUGGAUGUGGCCAUAAGAUUGAUCAUUUGGCUUGAAAGCCAUUGAUCUCCACACGUGAUAGCUCGUUUCUGAAAACACUUUUUUAAAAUAAUUUCCGUAUUACAAGUUUGUUAUUUUUCCUGGGAACUUGGCCACAUAUAAUGACACAAUGCGAAGGUUUCCCAAUUUUUGAUUUUUUUGAAUUUUUUAUGCCCGUUUUAAAAUGCGAUCAAAACGGCGGGAAUGACCAUUCCUAGCUAGUGGUUGAAUCUUGGAAUUUUUUUGGUGUUUCUCUGAUUAAAUAGAUACUUAUGUACCUAGAAAUGAUUUUUGGAAAAAAAUAAAGAGCAAACUAUGAGGCAGUUGCAGUUCAAAUUUGACCCGCUUCCAACUGAAUCGGCGGAAAUUUGUCUUUUUCACGAGAGGUGGAUCAAAACUUUUUACACCCAACCAUUUGGUGAAUUGUCCAUUAAAUAUGGCCUAGUAUUUUAGAAAAAUGAUUUGGUCCAAUUUUGCAACAAUUAUUUGGGAGGUCCUUCACAAAAAACCUCCGUUUGGGCACUCGAAAAAUGGAAAAUGGUUUUUUCGUCCAAAAGAAAAUGAAAACUUCCUUAGGCAAUAUUGUUUGCCAUUCCAAGAUGCAUCCUCGUAGAUGUAUAAUCAUACAAUGUGAAGGUUUUUCAUUUUUUUUGUGAAUUUCCUAUGCCAAUUUCAAAAUGUGAUCAAAUUUGCCCGCAUGACCUUUCUUAGUUAGGUGGUUAAUAAUGCAAAACUAUUGGUUUGUCUAUGAUGAAAUAGCUACUUUUGUAUCUACAAAUGAUUUUUUUAGAAAAUAAAUAGCAAACUAUUAGAUACCUGUAGUUCAAAUUUGACUCGUUUCUUGCCGAAUUGGCUGUUUCUCCAAAUACCUAGAAAGAUAGGAAAUGCAAUCAAAUUGAUGAUCAUCGAUGAAAGGUGGUCUAACUUAAGUGAAAAUUUUAGUGAAAAUAUUUUGCAAAAUAUUUUUGGUAGCUGCCUCACAAACCUCCCUUAUUUUUAACACUAAGAAGAGGAAAUUUUAAUAGCUCAUUUUCGAACCAAUCAGGACACAACACACGGAUCACCCCACUGUAUUCGAUCUGAGCCGUCCGCCUCCUACUGAUCCAGCGUCUCUCCCUUCCUCCCUCGACCCCCUCCUUCCCGAGAAACCCUAGGUCAAGCGCUGCCGUCUCCCUCUCCCCGAUCCAGACCCCUCCCCCACCGGCCCUAUCUCCGAUCCAGAUCCGUCCUCCUCCGAUGCCCUCCCCUCCGCUCCAUCCUCCCCUUGGACAAGAUCCGGCGCGCACGUCCCACACAUCGACCGCGCUCUCCCACCCACACAUUGCCGCCGCCACCCACCGUCCCGUCUGACCUCGCCGCCGCCACCCACUGCCCCGUCUGACCUCGUCACCGUUCGUCGCUCCCGGUAUCAUCCCCCCACACCCGCUGCCCCCUCCCUCUCCUCCUCCCAUCAGAAGAGAAGAGGGAUCUCAUGCGGAUCACACCAGGGCGUCGAUCUGGACUUCCAUCUGCACGAGGGGACGCGUGGAGCAGGAGGGGCGGCCAUGGUGCCGGCAAAAGAUGGCCGCCUGCUCCGUCCGCACCCAACCUCGCGAGCGGCCAUGUGCGAGGGGACGGCGGCCAGACGCAACGAAUUUGCACCGUCGCCAUGGGCCGUGCCAUGGAGCUCGAGACGCCCACGCUAACAGGCAUCACCAACUCGACUCGAUGCUCGUUUCGAUUUGGUACGCUGCUAGACUUGGUUCCCAUCCCUGAUGCCUCUUGCUUGUUUCAAUUUGGUAAUUAAAAUUGCAGCUCUCUUGCUUCUGAUUGUUCAUGUGUUAUACUGCUCACUCCGUUAGUUAGGCACACCAAUAGUGCUAGGGUUCAUACUUCAUAUGGAUGUGCCUAGCCAGCCAACAUUAUGUGGGUUCAAAACUAACAGUGAGGUUUUUCCGUCAGUAGGGAAAAACGGUGUUGAUUCUGUGUAGUUUCGUUAGUCUAUGAGUUUGACGCCGACGUCCUCAAGUGCUUUGCGUGAUUGACGACAGUUUUGAGUGGAAGAUAUAAUGAAUUUGAGUAACAGGAUGUCUCUUAUUAUUGGUGCGAGUCAUUCCAUGAAUUCUUUGCUGUUAGCUCGUAGCUGCAUUCCUUGAGUUGGUAUGAAGUGGAAAAUGCAUGCUAUACUUAGGAUUUCAGCAUAUCUAUGUCUCAACAAUUAGCUAAUUCUACUUUGUUGGAGAUGCACCUUUCAUGAUUGUUCAUCUGGAUAGUAAUCUGCUUUGUCUGUGGCUUCUUUGCUAGUGGUACCAUGCCCUAUUGGUCUAGUUUCAGGUUUCAUGACAGAUUCGUUUUGUACUACUUAUUUCUCAUAAUCAGUUUGAAGCAUACCAUUUUGUAAGGAAGCUAGUAGAACAGUUUGUAUGUUACUUCUUUGCUAGUAGUGGAUGAUUCCUUUCCAUGUCAUAUUGGUUUGACUUCCCGUUGGAUAACCAACUCGCUCUCCUGCCGUGCUCGCUGCUGCUAUUUAGAUUGAGAGAGAGGGGUGCUGAUUAGUGUAGUUUGUGAUUGAGAGAAUGCUUGCUGCUGCUAUUUGUGCUUACUGAUUGAUUAUACAGUGAUUGACAUGCUGCUAUUUCUACUUGUUGAUGUUAUUGUUGCCAUCCGAUGCAUAUUGUUGUGAUCCGUAGCUUACUGCUUUGUCUGCAGGUGUCGUGCUAGCGACCGAGUUCGGAGCGCUCGGAUCGAAGGUGGCCGAGCACUGGUACGAGGUCUACAAGAUGGACAAGAUGGGGGCCAACCUCUGGUUCAUCUACUAGUGGGAGGACAAGGUUUCUUCUAGCUCUGAAUGUUAGGAUGGUCAAUGUAAUAGUCCAGUCUGUAGUGUAAGGUUUUGGAUUGGAAACUCAGUGUGAAGUUUGGCUCUUAGGCUUGCUUUUGCUGCCAUUUUUUAUUAAUGAAUGCAUUACCUUUUUCUGAUUGAUCCAAAAUGUCAUCUUAUCUCUAGCGCAAUGGGAGUUAAAAUGUUUGUUCAGACAAUAUAGUUUAUGCUAUGAUAAUCACUGUAUUGUUUGUAGUAUGGAAUUUGCAUUCUGUAAUGGGACUGAAGUUUAGCUCUUUGGCUUGCUUUUUCUGUGCCCUAGAGACGAACACAUCAGCCCUAGAAUAAUACCUGCCUCUUUAUUAGCACUUCCAAGUAAGCGCCGCUCUCACUGUUGCCAUCUACUAUGUGUAAUUAGGAGUAGGACAUGGUCCUCUUGCUUGUGCUACACAAGGAUUUGUACUGCAUUGUUGCUGAAACUGCUGAAACAUGAUGCUGCGAUUGCCAAAAUUUUUUGUCUUAAUGCCCAUCUGUUGUUAUUUGCUUGGGGUGUUUUUCAUUAAAAUACAAACAGUGGCUGUUCUGAAAUUCAAGCUAUUGAACAAUGAUGAUACAAUACUUUUUUAAACAGUGGGCUGUGGCUUAGUGUAAUUGAUGUACUAGUGCACUGCCUGGCGUAAAAUUAUACCAGUACACUUAGAUAUGCAAUGAAAUGCUUCUAGUAUCUUACACAUGUAUAUUUGACAUGAAUGUGUAUUGCUUGGCUUAAAGUUGCAGCAACCAUGUUUUCUGAAUAACUAUAGUUGCUUUCAAAAUCUGCAAUUUAUUGGCGAUGUUACCUUAUUAUUUGCUCUCUUUAAUUGUUUUUGUAGGUCCAUGACAUCUCGCUGAACCACUACACCUGGCUUGCUCGCCGGUGCGCGCGUGCGUGCGUCGAUGCGCGGCGCUUCGUCGAGCUGGCCGCAUUGCGGUAAUCCCCGGAGCUGGAGCGGGAGGAGGCGACGAGAUGCUGCUGCUGCGGUUGCGUCCUCGGAGGCAGCAGCUGCCCCUCGCCGACCUUACCAACCUUCGGCGUCCGCCAUGAGCUCCGCACAUGACCCCUUCUACAUCGUUCGGGAGGAGAUCCAGGGCUUGGUAAUCCCCCCAUCCCCAUCCGCCCUCCCUCCCCUGCGCCCCUUUCUCUUCCUCUAGUUGCAAAUUUUCAUAUGAUGCAGCUGUUUAUUUGGCUGCGCCGUGGCGUACUGUCAGCUGAAAACUGCUUCUGUAUUUUCUACUCCAGUACUAUGGCUGAGGCAGUGACCAUCUUGUCUUAUGCAAUUCUUCUUGUUGCAGUUCAGUUUUAUGUGUUCUUAACUGUUACUACAAGACAUCAAGUGCAUGGCUGCUAGUUUGCUUACUAGCUCUGUUCUAUUGGGAUAUGUAUAUAUAUAUGUGUGUGGAUUUUAAGCAUGGUUCCUGUAUAUGUGAUAAGUGCAUACCACUACAACUCCUCUUUGUCUAGUAUUAUAAGGCCAUUUGAUUGAAUGCUUGAAAAGAUGAGUCGCUAAAGUGAAUGUGCUUCUAAGUCUCAUGUAAUAUGCAAAGAACAAAUUGAAACCAUGUUCUUUAAUAUUAAAGGGUCUGAUUGAUAUCAGUCCUUCUUUUGGUAGAUAUAUUAUGUAUCCUGACUUGUUAUUUUCUUCUCUAGCAAAUUGUAGACAUGAAUCUCUAGUUGACCUAUUCCUUCGUAGACAUAUAUUGGUCCUAUUACAUUUUAACUUGCUCCAAGUUCUAUGAUAUGUGAGUUCCUUCUGUUGCUGCAAGUAGUGACACAAUAUGCCGUGUGCAGUGGGCUCCACAUCCAAGUCCUGGCCGUCCUCCGCAGCAAGGAGCUAGGCCAAGGGAGCAAACAGCGCCACUGGUUCCUUCAAGGAUGUGUGCUGCUGGUCGAGUCUUGUGGAGAAGCAAGGCGAAUCGGGCAUUGUCUCAAUUGUUCCGCUGUGGUAAGAACAAAACACCACUCUCACUUGAUGUUCAUGUAUUACUACAGCAAAACAUUCUUACAUGGUGAUUGUUAGCGACAAAACAAUUAUCUCGCAUAAUAGUGUCAUUCUCUUCGUAGUUAACAAAUGCAUCUUGUCCAACCGAGUAAACUGGACCCAACUUGUACAAUAAAGUGAACUAAAUGCUGUCACAUUCUGUACAUGUUACUUUCUAUUUGGUGUCUGGUAAUGAUAUCUACGGAAAUUCUACUUUGUAAAGAAUAAACAAUGUGUUAUGGAUCACAAGCUAAUUUUUGUUGACAUGAAUUUGUUAUGCUCCUUAUUUUGACUUGGUUUCACCCACGUUGCUUUCCAAAACAUGAGAUUGAUGAGUGUUUCUUGUAGGCAACAUUGAUUUAGGAUUGAUUUAAGAUUUUGUGAGUAUGCCAAGGUUCUGCGAAUAUGCAUUGGAAACAUCUAGUGUUCUGAUAUAAUUGGUCUCUAAAACAUCUAGUCAUUAAUUUGAAGUUGUUUGAAUAUGUUGCUUUAUCAUACAUUCGAUCCAUAAAUCUGCAUUUCUGUGAAUUUUUUUUAAAUAUAUAUUUACUAGAUUGUCUAUACACUAAACCCGGAGGUUUGAAUAUCUACUCCAGGAAUGAAAAUGGUACUCUAAUGCCUUUGUGUUCACCCUUUUACAGGAGCUCCAAGCCUAGGAAAUUUCAAGUUCGAAGUGGCGUGUAGCCCUACGCAACAAAGAUUUGUUCUGUUUGACUGUAAUAAACUGUAAAUAUUAUAGUACUAUAAUAGUAGGCAUAUCCGGGUUCUAAUAGACUAUGCACAGACUGUAAUAGACUAUGUACAGGAGUUCCAGGCCUAAGAAACUCUAUAUUUUUUCUGUUCUAUUUAAAAUAUUGAUUAUUUGUGUGAUUUGAAGACGUGUGAAAUGGAAACCUGAUUAGUGGGCCCAUUUGUGAAAAUAAUCUAAACAAUGCUCACAUUUUUGACAUGUGGGACCAAUAUAGGAGAUUAUGACAAGUGGGACCCAUCUGACUUGUGGGACCAGAUUGAAAAAUAUAGACCGAAAAACUAAAAAAGUCAUGGCCCAAAAUAAAAAGGCCAAAUUGUUGGGCCAGGCCCAUGUAGCUAGAGAAAAUACACAGAAAAAAUAUACAGUAAAAAGGCUGAAUUAAUGGGCUCAGCCCAUAUAAACACCGAACUGGACCGGGCUGAUUCUUGUGCCACAUCAGAUUGCCACGUUGGAUGCCUACGUGUCCUGGGGAGGCUGCUAGUGACCAAAACAAAACAGUAGGCAUAUUUUGGUCGUAAACUUCCAUGACCUUCUCACAUAAAAGGUCGUUAAUUUCAGUUUACGACCGCCAGCUUUUGACCUUCUGUUUUUGGUCAAAAAAAGGUCGCAAAUGAAAAACAAUGACCUUUCAAUGACCAAUAGUCAAGGUCACAAGUUGACAUAUUUCUUGUAGUGAUGACUCCAUCAACCGCAUUCUUGUAACGCUUCUGUUUAGCGAUCUUCAAGGGUAUGAAGAUGCAAUCCCUGUCUCUCGUGGCUAGCAUCUCCUAGAUUGAUCUUGGUGACACGUAGGAAUUUUUUUGAAUUAUUACUAUGUUGUCCAACACUCAAACUGAGGGAAAUACUUAUCUCUACUUUGUUGCAUCACCCUUUUCUCUUUAAGAGAAAAGCCAACGCAAGCUCAAGAAGUAGCAGGUAUGCAAGGCGGAAGGCUAUUCAUGAGUCAAUCUUUCAAAGCUUGCAUCCCUAUUCAUUUGUCAACUCCUAUCUCAAUGAUUUCAUGUCGCUACCAAAGCCAGAACCAGAGCUCGAUGUCACGACGAGAUCAAGUGUUGAUACUUCCCAACGUUGGCUACCAUAAUCGGAGGGUGUUAUGAAAAUAAAUGCUGACAGAGCGGUCACCUGACAAGGACAGGGAGGUGUCGCAGCCGUGAUUUGUCGUGAUCAUAACGACCUAUACUUGGGAUCAGCUAUUGUGGUGUUCAGUGGUACUACGGAUCCCACGGUUCUUGAAGCUUAUAUGUGCCGCAAAUCACUGGCAUUGGUGGAAGAUCUCGGACUACAGAGGAUAUGUAUUGCGUCAGACUGCCAAGGGAUCGUCAACGACUUUGAUCAGGGCACUGGAGGCCCUCAUGGCGCAAUCAUACAUGAAAUAACAGAAAGAAAGGGUAGUUUUUAGUUAUGUAUUUCAUUUUUUAACGUGGGAGCUUCAGUUUUGAAGCUCACAAUCUCGCCAAGCAGUAGCGGAGCCAGCAUCACACAACGUCCCAUGCAAGCCUUCUAUCUACGGUGUGCUAUAGUGAUCUACAGUGUAAUUGUUGCUACAGCCAAGGAAGGAUCUCUCCAGCACACCCUAGGCGAAGGCCCUGCCUGCCUGGGGCCUAAAACCGCCACUGUCGCCAAGUAUGCUUGUAAUUUAGGUGUGGGCCGAUAUUUUUUGUUGGGUAAUCCUCAUGAUCCAAUUCUUGUACUUAUGAACAUUAUUCUGAAUCAAUAAAGUCGGCGAGAUUUCUCAGUGUGUGAAAUAAAAUUCUAAUUUUGCAAGAGAAAAUCUACAUCACAUCAAAGUAUCAACCAAUCUGAUAGACGACAGUGAAUCUUAUAUCUGACUAUCAACUUAGUUAGUGUGCUACUCUCUCUCUCUCUCUCUCUCUCUCUCUCUCUCUCUCUCUCCCACCCACCCUCCCUCCCUCUCUCUCUGUGUCCUGCAACUUCUACUGAAAUCAAUGUAAAGUAGACUUUAUAUUUAACCUUUUAUUUUAUAAACUAACAUGAGCUAUUGUAUACAACUGAUGAAACCAAAUGUCCAGAUGAGCAUACCAAAUAAAUAAAUUGUAUGUAAGUGUAACUCAAUAGGUGAUAUGCUUAUGUUCAUUAGUGACUGGUGCUAUUUCAAUGCCAUGCAUAUGUUAAACUUAUUACCAAAUCUAACUUGCAACAAAUUUGCAAACUUUACAACUUAUACUCUAAGUUUUAUAAAUAUGCAGGCCAAAUAAUCGUCUAGAAGUCGCUACUGAGAUAUUAGUUGGACAUUAUUCUGUUGAAACCUCUAACAUGAUAUUAAAUGAAACUAAAGUAUACAUCAAUAUAUGGAAAUACAUAAAAUAUGUACAUGCACACUAUAUAAUUUGUGUUAUUGUCGCAAAAAUAAUUCAAAGAUAACUUAUAUUACAUCACUUAAUUUAAAUUUAGCGUAAGUAAGAUUAUCCAUGAUACAUUGCAAUAGAUAACAAAGAACAUUAGUUAUUUAUAUCCUCAACUAUGUGGUUAACUGUACCAACUAAAUAAUAAAAAAUAUUGUAGUAUACAAAAAAGUACUCCCUCCUAUCCAAAAUAAGUGCAGGAAUUUUGAACUUUAAACUAAGAUUAGUUCAAGCUUAGUUCAAAAUUGCGACACUUAUUAAGGAUCGGAGGGAGCAUGCAUUUAAAUUUGGUAUAAAAAUAUUUAGUAUAUUUCGCCUCGGAUGACAAAUUUGUUUGGACCGUCGAUAAGAGACUAAGUCCACAUUCUCCUCAGUAUAUGUGUUACAUUACGGAUAAAUCCUGAUCCCAUUGAAAACAGGUAUGAUUCAAUUUCUUCCAUAAGAAAACUCUAUAAAACAGUUUAUAUUUUUCUCAAACUUUAAAUUUUGUUUUCAUGUCUUUUACGAUUCUAUAAACUAGGUGAUUUCCCCGUGCGUUGCGGCGGGAAUUGAAGAUUAAUUUCAGACGUAUUAUGUAUGAAGAAAAUGAUCCAAAUCAAGAGCUACUAUUUUGUAAUGUAGAAAUGUUUCAUACUUGUAGUAUAUGUAAACAAAGAGUACGCAUGUGAUUUGCAUGGGGUUGCAAAAUAGUGUUAGUGGAUGUUGGCAUGCUUUCUAGCUUUUAUAUAUGUUCAAGGAAAGCAAAAACAGACAUAUCCCUUAGAAAAUCAGAUAUAUGGAAAUGAAGUAAGGACUUAACUAAAAAGAUCCGGUGGAAAACUGAUAUUUACAUUGGCAAUAUUGAACAAAUAAAUCUUUGUACAAGCACAUGGAAAUCUAGCACCAAUACGUAGACAUUCCUCUCCUCUGUAGUCAGUUUGGCUUCUAAGAGCAUCGAAGUAAUUGUAAUGAACUCUACUGGCUUUUAGUGACAUCAAAAGUUGCAUUUGUUCAUCUGUAUGCAAAUGUUAAAGUUUGUCUAGCCAAGUUUUUUUCAAAAGAAAACGAAAUGUGGACAUAAGAAUUAAUAUGGCCAUAUGUGAAAGCUAGUCAUCAUGUUAUCAGGCAAGACAUGAGCAACUAAUUUAGAAGUACGCCUUAAAGCUAGUCAUAUUGUCAUCUGGCAAGACAUGAUCAGCCAGCUGAGAUGUAUGUUCCAAGUAUCCAGACACAACAUGAAUAAUGUUAUUGGCUCUCAAAGGUUGUAAAGAAGGAGUAAUCUACACAAACAUAACAAAAAAGACAAAAUAAUGACAUCAAAAGUAUUUCCAAAAGGCUUAUAGUUGUAGGUUGUAGAUCCGGUGAGUUAGGCCCAGUCCAAAGCACAAAUUCCUUGCUAAGUCGCAUUGGAAAAGCAUGUGUCGUAUGUCCUCGGGCCCCCCUGCGGCACACUGGACAUUCGCCAGAUAUGGGUAUGUGUCUAUUUGCGAGUAUAGAAACAGAACAAUACCUCAAAGAGAUCGAAGAGCUCGCCAACAGAAUAUUUGAAUCUUUCGCGGUAUGACUGCUAUAUUCUCUGAUUUUUGUGAAAAGAUUGUUGAGGUUUUCAUGGAUGAUUUUUCCGUUUACAGAACUUCUUUUGAUGAUUACUUAAGCAACCUUGGUCGAGUUUUGCAGAGAUGCGAGCAAACUAAUCUUGUCUUGAACUGGGAGAAGUGUCACUUUAUGGUUAAUGAAGGUAUUGUCUUGGGACAUAAAAUUUCUGAAUGAGGUAUUGAGGUGGAUAAAGCUAAAGUUGAUGCAAUUGAGAAAAUGCCAUGUCCUAAAGAUAUCAAAGGUAUUCGUAGUUUCCUCGGCAUGCUAGUUUCUAUAGGAGAUUUAUUAAAGACUUUUAUAAAAUUUCUAGGCCUCUUACAAAUCUUUUACAAAAGGAUGUUCCAUUUGUUUUUGAUGAUGAUUGUGUAGAAGCCUUUGAAACACUUAAGAAAGCCUUAAUUUCUGCACCUAUUGUUCAACCACCUGAUUGGAACUUGCGUUUUGAAAUUAUGUGUGAUGCUAGUGAUUAUGCUAUUGGUGUUGUUCUAGGAAAAAGAGUUGAUAAGAAAUUAAAUGUUAUUCAUUAUGCUAGUAAAACUCUAGACAGUGCCCAAAGAAAUUAUGCUACUAUUGAAAAAUAUUUUUUUAGCAGUGGUGUUUGCUUGUGAUAAAUUCAGAUCUUACAUUGUUGAUUCUAAAGUGAUUAUUCACACUGAUCAUGCUGCUAUAAAAUAUCUUAUGGAAAAGAAAGAUGCUAAACCUAGACUCAUUAAAUAGGUGGGUUCUCUUGAUACAAGACUUUGACAUACAUAGCACUAAUAGAAAAGGAGCUGAGAACCCCGUAGCUGAUAACUUGUCUAGGUUAGAAAAUAUUCUUGAUGACCCACAAACUAUUAAUGAUAGUUUUCCUGAUGAGCAAUUAGCUGCAAUAGAUGUUUCUCAUAACACUCCUUGGUAUGUUGACCAUGCUAAUUACAUUGUUGCUAAAUAUAUACCACCUAGCUUCACAUACCAACAAAAGAAAAAAUUCUUCUAUGAUUUAAGACAUUACUUUUGGGAUGACCUACAUCUUUAUAAAGAAGGAGUAGAUGGUAUUAUUAGACGGUGUGUACCUGAGCAUGAACAGUGAUAAAUCCUAUGGAAAUGUCACUCUGAAGCUUAUGGAGGGCAUCAUGCGGGAGACAGAACUGCUCACAAGGUAUAGCAAUCUGGAUUUUAUUGGCCUACUCUCUUCAAGGAUGCCCGUAAGUUUGUUUUAUCUUGUGAUGAAUGUCCAAGAAUUGGUAAUAUUGGUAAGCGUUAGGAAAUGCCUAUGAAUUAUUCACUUGCUGUUGAACCAUUUGAUGUUUGGGUUUUGACUACAUGGGACCUUUUCCUUCCUCUAAUGGGUAUACACAUAUUUUGGUUGCCGUUGAUUAUGUUACUAAGUGGGUAGAAGCUAUUCCAACUAGUAGUGCUGAUCACAACACCUCUAUUAAAAUGCUUAAGGAAGUUAUUUUCCCAAGGUUUGAAGUCCCUAGAUAUUUAAUGACUGAUGGUGGUUCACACUUUAUUCACGGUGCUUUCCGUAAAAUGCUCGCUAAGUAUGAUGUUAACCAUAGAAUAUCAUCUCCAUAUCAUCCUCAGUCUAGUGGUCAAGUUGAACUUGGCAAUAGAGAAAUAAAGUUAAUAUUACAAAAAAAACUGUCAAUAGGUCCCGAGAGAAUGGGUCUAAGAAAUUAGAUGAUGCACUUUGGGCUUAUAGAACAACAUAUAAAAAUCCUAUGGGUAUGUCUCAUUAGAAAAUGGUUUAUGGAAAAGCUUGUCAUUUGCCUCUUGAGUUAGAACAUAAAGCAUAUUGGGCAAUUAAAGAACUCAACUAUGAUUUCAAACUUGUCGGUGAAAAGAGGCUAUUUGAUAUUAGCUCACUAGAUGAAUGGAGAACCCAAGUUUAUGAAAAUGCCAAGUUAUUUAAAGAAAAAGUUAAAAGAUGGCAUGAUAAAACAAUCCAAAAGCGUGAGUUCAAAGUUGGAGAAUAUGUUCUUUUUUACGACUCUCGUUUUAGAUUCUUUGCAGGAAAACUUGUCUCCAGAUAGGAAGGACCUUAUAUUAUCGAGGAGGUUCAUCGGUCUGGAGCUAUCAAAAUAAAUAAUGCCGAGGGUACUAACCUGAAGGUUGUCAAUGGGCAAAGAAUAAAACAUUAUAUCUCAGGUAUGCCUAUUAAUGUUGAAAGCAAUGUUAUCCAAACUAUGACACCGGAAUAACACAUAAAGGAAACCUUCCGGAACACUCCUGAAUCGUGAAAAAAGAGGAGGUACGUGAUACAGAAAGUAAAUGGAUUCCGAAAAAUCCGCAAAAAUAUUUUCUGUCAGUUUUGGAAUAUGUUAAAAAUUAGGAAAAUAAGAAACAACUAGGAAGGCACCCCUGGUGGGCACAAGACACCAGGGCGCACCUGAUCGCUCUUUGACUAUAGCGCCAGAAAAGCUCCUGUCUGCUAGGACUAUGUCGGUAUUUCCCCAAAGAGGAAGGGAUGAUGCAGCACAGCGAUGGUAGGUGUUUCCCUCAGUGAAGAAACCAAGUUUAUCGAACCAGUAGGAGAACCAAGAAACACAACAUAAACAACACCUGCACACAAAUAACAACACCUCGCAACCCGACGUGUUAAAGGUGUUGUCAUGCCCUUUCGGGUAACGAUGCCAGAAAUUUGUAGUAGAUGGAAUAAUAGAUCGCAAAUAAAAUAAAGUGCAUCAAAGUAUUUUUGUAUUUUUGGUUUAAUAGAUCUGAAUAAAAAUGCAAAGGAAUAGUAGAUCGCAAGCAAAUAUAUGAGAAAGAAGCGGCCGUAGGUUUCACUAGUGGCUUCUCUUGAGAAAGAUAGCAAACAGUGGGUAAACAAUUACUGUUGGGCAAUUGAUAGAACCUCAAAUAAUUAUGACGAUAUUCAGGAAAUGAUCAUUACAUAGGCAUCACAUCCAAGAUUAGUAGACCGACUCCUGCCUGCAUCUACUACUAUUACUCCACACAUCGACCGCUAUCCAACAUGCAUCUAGUGUAUUAAGUUCAUGGAAAAACGGAGUAAUGCAAUAAAAACGAUGACAUGAUGUAGACAAGAUCCAUUUAUCUAUUGCGUAGAUAUAGAUCCCAUCUUUUUAUUCUUAGUAGCAACGAUACAUAUGUGUUGUUUCCCUUUCUGUCACUGGGAUCAACAAGCACCGUAAGAUCGAACCCACUACCGGGCACCUCUUCGCAUUGCAAGAUAAAUAGAUCAAGUUGGCCAAACAAAACCCAAAUAUCGGAGAAGCAUUAUGAGGCUAUAAGAGAUCAUACAUAUAACAGAUCAAAGAAACUCAAAUAACUUUCAUGGAUAUAAAAAGAUAUGACUGAUUAUAAACUCAAAGUUCAUUAGAUCUCAACAAACACACCGCAAAAAGAGUUACAUCAUAUGGAUCUCCAAGAGACCAUUGUAUUGAGAAUUCAGCGAGAGAGAGAAGGCCAUCUAGCUACUAACUACGGACCCGAACACUACUAGAGAAAACCUUAUACACAGAAGUUUAUCAGUAGUGCGGUCUAAAAGGGGGCGCUGCUACUAAUUAGUAGUAGCGAGGGGUAUAAAAAUCGUGCUACUACUAAGUUGAUAGUAGUAGCGAGGGGUAUAAACCCGCGCUGCUACUAAGUGGUGCCCCCGGGACAGGCCAUAAUAGUAGCGAGUGGUAUAAAACCUACGCUACUACUACGUAAGUAGCUAUAGCGCUGGUAAGACCCCACGCUAUUACUAAGCGUUUCCACGCCGGCCCGAUCCACUCCCACCCCACCACUCUCUCUCUCUCUCUAUAAUCCCUAAAAAAACUCUCUCACGAACUCACCUGUUCCUCGGUCCACCCCACACCGGCUCCUCUCCCCACGAUCUCCUCGCCGCCGCCACCACCCACGCCGGCCGGUUCCGGCGAGCACCGGCCGCGCGCAACCCCCCCAGUUCCUACACGGCCACCCUCUUCUCCACCGCGCUCUCGCACCACUUCAUCCCGCUCCCCUCCGCCGCCAGGCCUGCCGCCGCCGCCUCCUUCACCUGCGGCCCACUGCGCGCCAUGUCGGCGCUGCUGGCGCCACGGAGGCGGCUCCUGCUGCCCGUGGCCGUGGCCGUGUCGUCCGAGUUCGAGACGGAGGACGCCGAGGGAGAGCAGAGCGAGGGCGAGGGCGGAGGCGACUCCGCGACCGAGUACUCCGAGGACCUCAAGGUCUUCGUCGGCAACCUGUCCUUCACCGUCGACAGCGUGCAGCUCGCCAGGAUAGGAUAAGGUACUGUAAAUUUUUCUCGGCAUGAAGUAAGUUGGAGUUGGUUCAGUACUUCAGAGGCCUCGUAAAUUCAGUACUUCAGUGCAUUGCCGAGAGCGCUCCAGCGGAGUCCGCGAUAAAUCCUAAUCCAAAGGCGACCGACUGGAUUAGAAGGUAUAUCUUGAUGCUAACCCAUGGGUGGGAAUUUUUAGGGGGGAGAAUUAAAGAAUAGAGCAUUUGGGGGCAGGCUGUGCUUGUGCGGUUGUGCCUCCCUUGAACCCAUUAUUGUUUCUUCAUAAACUGCAGUAGACAUCUAGAAAAAAAAUUUGUUUAGUAGACUGGUCCAGAAAUUAAUCCUGUGAUACAGAAAGAAAUUUUUAGGGCGGAAAUUAAAGAAAAGAGCAUUUGGGGGCUGGCUGUGCUUGUGCCUCCCCUUUGAUAGAGAAAGAGAAGUAUUUAUGCGAACGAACUGACCAAAAUAAAAAGACUUUUGCAGAGUGUAAAGUGUAGUUGGUGUUGUCCUUUGCAGCUUAUGUAGAGAUGGAAAACAUGUAGGGAGUACAAUAUAGUUUCAAUUUUUAUUCUCUUUGUAGAGUGUAGUUGGUGUUGUCCUCUGCACUAUACUGAAGCUUGUGUUUAUACUUUGUACUCUGUAGUGUAGCUUGUGUUAUGCUCUUUACUGAACUAAAGCUUGUGCCACGAGCCCACGAGUAUAAAAAGUUUGAUUCUUGAUCCUCUUUGUAAUUAUACUUUGACUGCACUGAAGCUUGCGUCUGAUUGUAGGCAUGGUACUGAACCCAUAUAGUACUGAACUGAACUAUAGUAACAAGAGUAACUUGUGUUAAUGCUUGGAUCAGACGAUUUUAUUUGCACCAUGCUUUAGUUGCUUAUAAAUGCUUGGGUCUGUCGAUGCAGUGCAAGCGUCCAUCGCCGCAAACACAUGGGUGGUCAGUGGGACUCCCCAGACCAAGAGUAUGGAUCCAUCUCACUUCUCUAUCAUUUGGCCAUGAUGAUGAUGAUGCAAGUUGUAACAUUCUUAGAUUGGAUUUAUGGAUGCAUCGCUUUAAUGCAACAGCUAACCCUCAUUCGCAUCAGCCCUCUUCUCUAUGGUGCUGGCUAGGUAAGAACUAGGUAUCUGUGGCAGCAGCUCAUAGAUUAGAAUUAGAUUUGAUAAUUGGAGAUGGAUCCCUGAACCAAUUUGCAAAUUCGUUGGUGAUUUCAGUGCUUAUACUUAUUUGGUUUUGGUGCCUGGUCGGACCUUCUCUAUGUUAGUUCCUUUGCUUAGCCAAAUUAGUUAGGGAUAUAGCCCAUCCAUGAUGUUGCGAGGUGUUGAUUGCCUUCUAGCAAAAAUCUAGAGCGUUGGGUAUCUCUGGCUGUAAACUGAAUCUGGUUCAGUUAAAAACUGCACUGUCAAAUCUGGACAGCCAGCUUCUAGGUGAAAAACGAGUUAGUUAUUCUCAGAAUUUCGAGUUGCCUCUAUAUGAAAUUUGUAAAGCAAGUUUCAAGCUUUCCGUAGAGUAUUUAUUUGCAUCGUUUGGAUGAAUGGUUUGAGAGCAGCCAUCGUUUUAGUUUGUUGUCCCGAAAGUUAGGAUCGUGAGCGCAUUGUUUUCGUAUGCCAGUUUACGGCCUUGUAGAGGCUGUUUUAAAAAAAAUUCAAUACGAAUUUUGUAGAGGGUUUGUAGUAGAUUGCAAGGCCGAUUUCAGUUUCAGUUUGCUCCACCGCUGUGAAAGGUGGAGGAGGCUAGAUUGCAAGGCCGAUUUCAGUUUCAGUUUCGAUCGAGCCUAGAUUGCAAGCCCGAUUUUAAUACUAGCACUCUCCAUGCAGAUCCUCAAUAAUUGUAGUCAAUUGGUUGGACAGUCUUCUUGUUUUCAUCAUUUUUUUCUAGUUAUAUACGUAGUUGGCUGGGAUUAUAAUGCUAUCUUUGCUUACUGUUAACUGUCCAAAUUGAUGUAGGAAGAUAAACAGUUGUUGAUCGCUUCCACGAUUAGCACCAACUAAGUUUCCUUAGAUGUUUGCACCUUAGAAAGUGGUAUCUGCUUAAUAUGAAGAUCAUUUGUCAGUUCUGUAUCUGUAAUAUUACAAGUAAGAAUGGAUAUUGGCUAUCAAGAGUCUCAACUUUUAUCUCAUUUACUGAAUGCAGACGCAACAUCUUCACUUCUUUCCUUGCACAUUCCUGUUAAGGAAGCAAAGGUAACCCUGCUAUCCUGGUAUAUACAGAUAGAAUAAAAAUAUAAUACAUUAUUUGGAUACCAAUGAAACACAUAGAAUUAGUUGUUGAACACAAACGAUAUGGGAAGUUCUCCUUCAGGGAUCACGGUGUUUUCCUAGUUAUUCUGCUUGAAGGGAUGGCGUUGAUAGUGUUGCUACCAGUGCUGCUGUUUUAUUUUGUUGAGACUACCAAUGCUGCUGUAGUCAAUUAAUUACAACUCACACUUGUUGAGGGGGCGCUGCAACUUAAUUCAGUGUCGAUGUUCAUUGCGAGUUUAGUAGUACCAUAUGAGGAGGUGAAAUAAUGUUCUUAUAGUUCACAACAAGUGGUCUGAUUGGUCAUUGUUUGUCCUUGUUGGUCUGCUUUCGUUUUGGAAAAUCAUCCUAUAAGAUUUGUGCUGUCCUAUCGAGCAAUUGAUCUGAUAGGUUGUGAGCUUUUUAGCUGUCCAGCAUCACCCUAUGGUAGAUAAUCAUUUCUAUUAUGUGUUAAUGCUUUCCUUUUAAACUACUUCAAAAAAAAUUGGAUUCUUUUAGCCGUAUUAUCCUUUGAACAUCUAUAUGAAAUGAUCUAAGUUUAAGUAUAUUUAGUUUUGAAGAA
rnacentral:lncRNA from 1 species